GUGAUAAGCGGAGGGCCCUGCACAGGAAAUCCGCUCAGCUUCUGCAAUGUGACCUGCCUGAAACUUGGGCGCUCCUUCAGUCAGGAUGUCCAUGGCGGGACAAAGGGGAUCCUGGACCAUGGGCGAUGUGGUAGAGAAGAGUUUGGAAGGGCCCCUGGCACCCUCUACAGAAGAGCCCUCCCAGAAAAGUGGAGAAUUGGUAGAAAUCUUAAAUGGGGAGAAGGUGAAAUUUGACGACUCAGGACUGUCCUUAAUUCUUCAGAGCGGCCUGGAGACCCUCCGAGUGGAAAACGCUCUGACAGAUGUCAUCUUGUGUGUGGACAUUCAGGAAUUCUCCUGCCACCGCGUGGUGCUUGCUGCGGCCAGCAACUACUUCAGGUCAGCGCGCCUGGAACCAGAGCCAAUCUGGGUGCAGGUUGCAAAGAAAAUCAGUGUUGAUGUGAAAGCCCAAGCUAGCUAGUUUGCUUUCACAUUUAUGGUUUAUAUACAUCUAUUGAGGUUUGUGUGUAUACGUAAAAGUACAAGAAAGGGAGGUAUUGAACUUUAGAUUUUAGGAUGUAGGCCACAUUUUGAGAGAGACUGGCAUCAUUUAAAAGCAAUGUUUAUAAAUAACGGUGAACUUUCUGUGUAUAUGUAUGUCCUUGUUCCAGAGGAUGGGAUAUGACUUAAGUCAUGGGGAUUUUUUACCCUGUCUUUGUUCUGACUAACAUGUUGGAAAAAUAAUGAUGUCUUUAUUCAUCAACAGAAAUAGAGAAAAGGAUGUGGCCCCUCUUUUGAAGUUAGCGAGUUAAGGGCCUUUGGGUGUGUGCGGGAGGUGGUGGGAAAUUUAGAUGCAAAAGGCUCUGGUUCCAACAGAUCUGUGGCCUCCACAGUGGGAGGACCUGGCGUCAGGAGACCUGGGUUCCAUCCCAUUUGGUCUCCUUUUGACCAUACGACUGGACGGAGGGGAGUCUCUUAAUGUUCUGAAUUUUACCUGUCAGAUGAGGACAGUGAUGAUUACCUCUCAGGAUUCUUGCAAUAAUUAAACACGAGGGUGAAAAGGGUCUGACAGAGUGCCUGGCAUAUGGUGGACUCUCAUAUAUCUUCAUUGAAAUUCUUCACCCCAUUCUGCUUUGUUCCACUAAGAAUUACUUUUUGAGGGUUUACCAUGAGCAAAUCCCUGCAGUAGGAAAGUGGGAGAAUCAAGAACCCAGUGAUCACAUCUGGAUCCAGCAUUGUCCACGUGAACAGGGACUCAGGCAGGGAACCAGUCCAUGAAGACAGUGUGAAUGCAGAAGGUAUUUUGGGAAUGUGAAAAAGAAAUACCUUUAUCAUUUUUCUUAUCAAGAUUCUUUUUAACUCUCCGUUCUGGCUGAGGAAAUCAAGUAUCCUGGAAGGCAUUUUAUGUUUUUAUUUUUUUGAGGUACUUAGGGGAAAAAAAUGUCUCUCUGGAAUUCAAAGAGCAGGGUUGGCUGGUUAUUGUGGGAUGGAGUAGCUCCCCUAUGUUGAUAAGGUAAGGAGAUAAUCUUGAGUUUGUGGAAAUUCGUGCCUGUUAUACACCCGGUAGAUAUAGUUAUCUGAUUUUAUUUUUGUAGUGGUAUGAUAGAGAUAACUGAUGUCCCCUUUUACAGAUGAGGAAAUAGAAACCCAACAUUUUAUAUCUGGUCAUUAUUGCAGCAGGGAAUCUGUACAUUUUAGAGGUCCUGGUUUUUAAUGCAAUGCAAGUUUUGGGCUUCUUUUCACAGCCUAGAAAGUAGAGUGCAGUCAUAGCCAUAAAAAUGCGUGGACAUAGAUAAUCCAAUAGUAUCAAUCACUUGCUUUCACAAUUGAUCACAGACCUUCUGGGGGUGAAUGAAAGCUAAUUUUGCUCAAUGCCCUGGGUACUUGUUUUAGAGUCAUUCUUUCUGUUUUGAGUCACUGGGAAAAUGCUAAAAUAAAAUGUAUACCUGGUUAGUAAUUUUGUUAAUGGCUCAGCCUAUGGGACAGGACCACUGGCUGUGUGUCCUCGGCACAUCACUGCUCUCUUCUAGUCCUUGGGUUUUAUUCUGCUAAACAGAAGGUGUCUGGGCUCAGAUCCUUCCAGCCCUGUUGAUCGAGGACACUUAGGGCAAGUCUCUGCCAGUCCUCAGAGGAGGUGGUGGCAAUGAGAAGUUGGAGGCACACAGGGAUGAACUUGUCUCUCCAUGUAUGCAGAGUUUUUUCCCAAACUGUCUGGUCAUGAGGGGAAAGGCCUUCUAAUCUUCAGAGCAGUGACUUUAGAUCUGUAUCUAGGGAUUUCCAAUGUGGCUUUUCUUCUGUAAUGAACAGAUAUGGAGACAGGAUUCUUUUUUCAGUACUACUAUUAGUAAUGGCUUCUUUUUGUUGAACCUUUUGUGUGGGCCAGCCCUGUGCCACCAGUGUCACAUACACUAACCCAUUUAAUGGGAACAACAAUGCAGCAAGGUAGGGAUUUCAUCCCCAUCUUACAGAGGAGGAGCUUAAUAAGAAAGUAGCCAAGUUAAGCUUUGGAACGAAGACUGAGAUUGAGUCUGACACUGCCUCCCUGCCUCUCCUGCUGUUUCUAAGGUUUUGAAAAUCAUCUGUAGCUGGGUUCUUCUUAUAUUCAGACUUAAGAAGGCCAAAGAGGCUCCCCACACAGCCUUCUGGGCUUUGGGAGGGUUUGGAAGCUGGCUGUAAAAUUAUAUAGGCUUUUCCCCCUUUAUUUCAUUGAGAAAAUAAACACUUUGCUCUAAAUGGCUGACUAUAGUUUACUUAACCAGUCCUGCACCGACAGAUAUUUGGUUUGGAAUCUCUUGCUGCUGUGGACAAUGUUGUAACGAAUACUCUUAUGCAUGUGCCAUUUCAUAUGCGUGCAAGUGUAUCUGGGGAUGCACUUCUGGAAAAUGGUUGCUAAGUUAAUGCAUCUGCAGUCGUAAGAGAUUUGGUCAACUUCUGUCGGAGACAGGUUGAAUCACUUUAUAUUCUCCAUGAUUUUAUCAAAAUAGAGUAGUAUCAAACUAUUGAGCUUUUGUAUUAUACACCAACAACUUAGAGCUGAAUAUAUUUACAGGAUAUAAGAGAUGCUAUGGUUUUUUAAUACAAUGAGGAAUGACCAAAUCAAGCCAAUCAACCCAUCAUCACCUCAACAUUUAACAUCUUUUGCAAUGAGAACAUUGAACUGAGGUUUUGUACCUUUUGGUUAUCAUCAUCCCAAGUUCUUCAGCCCCAGCUCUGCCACCCAUCAUUCUAUUUUCUGCUUCUAUUAGUUCAAUCGUCUUAGGUUCCACAUUUAAAUGAGAUCACAUGGUAUUUGUCUUUCUGUUAAACCGUUGAAUUUUUGCCAGUUGAUAGAUGAAAAAGAAUAUCUCAAUUUAGUUUUAUUUUUGCAUAUCUCUUAUUUUAAUAAGGUCAUGUGUUUCAGGGUGAUCUGAGUUCUUCUUUUGUGAACUGUCUCUUUAUAUUGUCUUUCAAAUUAUCAUGUUUACUUUUAAAAAUUAAAAUUCAUUUUUUUAUCAAAGACAUGCAAAUAGUUAACAAAAAGUCAAAUAGAAUUAUGAAAAACAAAAAUUCCUCCUCACUCCCUCUGUCCUUCAGUUUUGCUCACCAGAGGCCACUAUUUUCAACUUCUUUUUUUCUAUUUUAUCUCUAUAUUUCUUUCUUCUCUCUCUCUCUUCCUCCCCCCCCCCCCCCCCCCCCNNNGUCAGGGAUUGAACCCAGGGGCGCUUAACAACUGAACCACAUCCCCAGCCCUUUUUAAAUUUUUUACUUUGAGACAGGGUCUUCUAAAUUGAUUAGGGCCUUGCUAGGUUGCUGAGACUUGCUUUGAACUUGCAAUUCUGCCUCAGCCUCUCAUGUGUCAACAGGCCACUGGGCUCAGCUUAUCUCUAUAUUUCUAUAAAUACUUAUGCUAUUUCUUGAUUUCUCAAUAUUAGAUAUAAUAUGUUUAUUUCAGAUAAGAACUUAGCAUUUAUACCUAACUCCCUUACCAUACACUCCCCAAUGUCUCUCUUUUUUUAAACUUUGUUUAUUUUUUCAAUAACUUAGUACCUCACACGUGCUAGGCAAGUGCUCUACCACUGAGCCACAACCUCAGUCUUCUCUGUUGUCUCUUAACAUAAUGUUAUUGUAAACUUUUUGCUGAAUCUCUGUUGAGUUUACAUGAUCAUGUUCGUAAAUAUAGUAUUUCCUGUGGAGCCAAAUAAUACAAUAUAUUUCCUUCCUUGUAAAGUUUUUUUUUAUAAUUUAUUUUUUAGUUGUAGGUGGACACAAUACCUUUAUUUUAUUUUCAUGUGCCGGUGAGGAUCCAACCCAGUGCCCCAUGCAUGCUGGGCAAGCGCUCUUCCUCUGAGCCCCAGCCCCAGCCCCUUGUAAACAUUUUUGUUUUGUUUGAAGUUACUAGUCCACUCCUGGGCUAGGGAUGCAGCUCAAUGGUAGGGUACUUGCCCAGCAUUUGCAAGACCCUGGAUUUGAUACCCAGCACCACAAAAAAGAAAAAAAAAUCCAUUUCUUUUUCCAUUUGCUUAGUUUUUUUUUUUCAUUUUCAUUUGCUUAGUUUUUGAAGUGUCUUUUUCUCACAGUUUCUCAUCAUGCUCUUUAAGAACCUACCAGUUCCAUCCCCACCCCACCCCAAGUUCUCAUAUCCAACACAUGUUUUCUGGACUUGCAGCCCAGCUAUUGCCCAGCUGCUUCCCACCAUCCCCCAAACUCUCUCUGACUCUCUGCUUCGUCACAUAGAGCCUCUCUCUCUUCAUCCCCCUCUCUUCUCUCCUUCUUACUCUGAUGAAACAUAUCCUCCAAUAACUUCCUAAGAAAGGGUGUAUGGAAGGUAAAUUUUCCAGGCUUUGUAUGUUGAAAAUAUCUCUAUUCACUCGAUACAGAGAUUGAUAAUGGUUCCCCAAAGACAUCUAUGUCUAAUCCUGGAACUGUGAAUAUGCUACUUUAAACGGCAAAAGGCACUUUGCAGAUGUGAUUAAGUAUCUCGAGAUGAGAAGAUCAUCCUCGAUUGUCUGGCUGGGCUCAAUGUAAUCACCAAUCCUUACUAGAGGGAGGCAGGAGGAUCAGAGUUGGAGUGAGGAGCCAUGGCAGUGGAAGCAAAGGUUGGAGUGAUUGGCUUUGAAGAUGCAAGAAGGGCUCAAGGAAUGUUGAUAAUUUCUAGAAGAAGAAAUGAGCAAGAAAGCAGAUUCUCUCCUUUAGCCUCCACAGGCAACAUGGUUCUGCUGAUUCCUGGGUUUGGGCUCAGUGAAACCCAUUUUGCAUUUCUGAUUGCUGUAUUGCAAAACCAUAAUUUUUGUUUUUUCAAAAGCAACAGAAUUGGGACUGGGAAUGUAACUCAGUGGUAGAGCACUCACCUAGGAUCCUAGCAUACGUGAGGCCCUGGGUUCAAUCCCCAGGACUUGGGGGAAAAAAAAAGCCACCAUGCUUGCAGUUUUUCAGUAGUUUGUUACAAUAGCUAUAUGAAAUUAAUAUACUAAGAUAUAGAUUUUUUUUUUUUUUUUUUGGUGCUGGGGAUUGAACCCAGGGGAGCUUUACCACUGAGCUGUAUCUCCAGUCCGGUUUUAAUUGAGAUAGGGCCCACUAAGUUGCUGAGAGUCUUACUAAGCCGCUAUGGGUCUGACUAAAUUGCUAAGGCUGGCCUUGAACUUGGAUCCUCCUGCCUUAGCCUCCCAAGGCACUGGGAUUAGAGACAUGUACCACUGAGAAUUCUUGAAAAUAAUUGUCCUUCCAGAUUUUGAAAGUAUUGCUACAUUGUCUCUGGAUUCCUUUAUUGCUAUGAAGAAGUUUGAUGCUCUUCUGAUUUCUGAUCCUUUGUCUGUGAUCCUUUUUUCUCUCUAGGAAAUUUUCAGGAUUUUUAAAAAACAAUUUUUAAAAAAAUUCUAAAAAAUUUAGAAAAUAGGAUUUUCUCUUAAAAAUGUUUUUAUUAUAGUUAUACAUAAUAUCAUCCUGACAUAAUUAUACAUACAUGGAAUACAUUUCCAUCCUCAGUACUUCCUUGUUUCAUGGUUAUGUUUAUGUGUUUGUCUCUCUCUCUCUCCAGGUAUUUUCCUCCAACCACUUUGAUAUGCAUUUAACGGCACCUUUUAACUUGAAGACUUAUAUCAUCUAGUUCUAAGAAAUUUUCUUGGGUUUUUUAUAGUAAUUAUCUGUCCACUUUUUCUUUAUUCUCUAGUUUUGGAUCACCUGUUCAGUUGAUAUAGAUUCCUAAUCCUCUAGCUUUCUUCUCUUUUUUCCUCUAUUUUUCAUCAGCUUAUCUUUUUAUUUUACUUUCUCCAGUUAUAUUUCUCAAAUUUGUCUUCCCACCUGCUAGGAUCUCAGUUUUACUUUCCAAGGGCCCUUUCUUAUUUUAUGAAGUAUUGCUUUUUUUUUUUUUGAGAGAGAGAGAGAGAGAGAGAGAGAGAGAAUUUUAAUAUUUAUUUUUUAGUUCUUGGCGGACACAACAUCUUUGUUUGUAUGUGGUGCUGAGGAUCGAACCCGGCCCCACGCAUGCCAGGCGAGCGCGCUACCACUUGAGCCACAUCCCCAGCCCUGAAGUGUUGCUCUUGACAACAUCCUGUUCUUGUUUUAAUGUGGAUUGUAUUUUCCUUAAUGUCUUUGAGAUUUAUAUAUAUAUAUAUAUAUAUAUAUAUAUAUUUAAAAAAAUACUUUUCUUCUGUUCCUUGUGAUGGUUCUGCAUUUCUAUUUUUUCUUUUUAGUCUCUAACUUUUAUUUCAAAGGCUAUAUUCAAAUAUCUAGUGAUCUUUAGAUAUCAAUUCAUACUUACAAGUGAAGAGUGAAGCACUAAAAGGCUAAUGGAUGCUAGGAUGGGGGGUGGUGAGGCUUUGCUCUGGAGUCAUGGUAUUGAGCACACUUUUUGUUGGGAAUUUCCAGAUAUUAGUAUUAAAGGUUUUUGCUCUUUGUACCAAUCUUUCUAAGGAAAAAAUCUCCAUAUUCCUACCUAGGAAAAUAUAAGAUUCAUUGUUUGCUUUCUGGGAAAAGAAGAAGACAGGGUAUAUCACUUUUUGGGUUUUAGAUGUAUAUUUAAUUCUCCUGUUGCUGGUUCCCCUCCCUCCUCUGUGCUUGGGGGCACAGGUUGUGUCAGGUGUUCAUGAGUUGGUUAAAUUUCUCCAGAACAAACCUUGUGAGUCCUUAAGUGAUUGUUCCUUUGACGGGAGGGGUAGGGAUGGUGAUCUGAGCAUAGCGAGAUGAAACUGCUUCUUUAUACAGAAUCUCAACUAGUGCCUGUGUUUGGUCCUAUUCUGACCCUCCUCGCAUCCCACCUUCGUCUUCUAAGGUGGUCAUGCGUACCAGAGUCUUUCUGGGGUUCUCUGGAGAGGAGCAGCUCAGGAUGUCUUAGUGGCACUUUGGUUUCAGCUUCUUCCAUAUGGAUCUUCUCUGAAUUUUUUACCUUCCCAGUUCUCAGGAGGAAUUCUGAGAUGGCAAGAAGUAGAAUUCAUUCCAGGCUCAGCUCUAUGUCUAGUCUUCUGUGACUCUCAGAGGAGGUACUGAUAAAACUAGCUGUCAUUCUGUCCCCGCUGCACCGGGCUUUAUCUUUGGUAUCAGGCAUUGCACCUAAGUACUUUAUAACAGUAUCUUGUUUAAUCUUUAAGAUAUUUACUUCAAAGUGUUGUUAUCAUCCCCACUUUGCAGAAGCAGAAGCUGAGAUCCUGAGUGGUUAAGUAACUUGCCCAAGGUCAUGAGCUAGUGGAAGGCAGAGUAUUGCUUUGUCCCCCCUCCCCCCACCCCAAUUGUACUGGGAAUUGAAUCAACCAGGGCAAGUGCUCUAUCCAUGACCCUUAAAACUUUUUUUUUUUUUUAAUCUUAAGACAAGGUCUUUCUAAGUCGUCCAGGCUGGCCUGAAGUUCGAGAUCCUCCUGCCUUAGGCUCCAGAAUAGCUAGGAUAUAGGUGUGUGCCACCAUGCCUGGCUCUUCUUGCUCUCUUGCAUGUGAUCAUUGGUGAUUUUUGCAAAGACCUGCUACUCCUAAAGAACUAAGCAAAAUGCAGAGGAUGCAUAUGGCAAUAGCUCUUAUUACUCUGUGACUAGUUAGAUUUCUGUUAGCUAAAGAGAUAAUGAAACCAAUGCUUUGUGAUACUUUUUAUAUGAGGGAGAAAACCUUUUUGGCUACCAAGUAUCCCAUUGUUUCUGCCACAAACUGUCCCUAAACCAAACAAACACAUAGAGAAGCAAUUUCAAGAAUUUAUUUGUGAUGCCAGGAGACUAAUGGGUGGGAACAUGUUAACCAAAUAGGGAGUACAUUAGUAACUCAGACAAUGUAUUUCCUUUUGGAAGUCUAUUUAAAAGUCUUUGUAAGAAUGAGGAAGUUGGGGGGAAAAAUGUUUGGUUGAGACGAGAAAAGGGUGAAAGAGAUUAAAUCUUAAAAAGUAGCCUACUGUAUACAUUUAAAUGUCAAACAGCCAAAUGGCAAGAUGUCCAAAUAUUUUUAUGGCAGAAAAUUUGGGGAAGUAUAGAUUUAACAUCUCUAAUAUAUUCUUUAUUUUAUGAAACUACUAAUAUCUAUUAUAAGUUCACAAUAAAGCUGCCAUUUGUGUUAUGCCUUUGGACAGAUCCCAAAUCAGUCACUGGAAGGGGUUGUGUGUGCUGCGCUCUGAGUCCUACCUCGUGAAGGGUUUCCAUCUAAACCAGGGCUUCUCACCACUUGGGGGGCUCAUAUCACUACAGAAUAUGGCAUAUUAUGUGACAGUGGUCUGUAAGUGUCAGAAUGGGAUGUAAUAGUGAUAAGGAAGCUGUUACAAGGCUUCCCUCAGUCCCAUAGGAUGACUGGCCCUUUCUAUAGGUGUAUAAAAGCUGUCAGGCUGAGACUGAAUCCACAGCAAACUCUCUUGUUGCUGCUGAUGCCUGAAGUCUUUGCCUGGAUUCUGACCCCUGCUGUGUACCUCAGUCUCUGGGUCUCAUUCCCUGAGCUUAUCCUGAGGGGAUUUAGCCCACGAGCUACAACAAUCAAGCAUAAAGUCAGGAAUGAGAAGGAAUUGUGGGUAUAGUCCAUGCAUUUGUUAUCAUUAUUACUUAUUAACCAGUGACUGGAAGGCAGAGAUUGGGGCAAGAGGCUACUUGUAGGCUAUGUUUCCAUGUUGUAAUCUUUAACUCUUUCUCCAUAAUGGUGUUAGGUGUCUAGAGAGGAGCCAGCAAGUCUAGGUGAUAGAGUAAGUGAAGAAAACAGGAAUGAGUCAAGGCUGAGUCUGAAUUUAAGAAUCUGGCAAAUGGUGAAAGCGUUGAGGACUAUGGCCGUCAUUGUAGGUACAUCACCAGUGUCAUGUCCUGUAUUUUAUACUUUUAAUAUUUCCCAAUAUUGUGGACCAGAAUCAAUAAGGUGGUUAAUAUUUUAAGCAUUGGAGCUUUAUAAUCACUUUCCUGCAAUUCCAAAAUUUCCAAAGAGCUGCUAGAUGAAAAGUUUUUUUUUUUUUAAUAAUUUAUUUGACAACCAAAUCUGACUUGAACUGUAGUCAUUUGAUGGAGAUACCUGCCCUAAACUGAGGAAAGGCUACUUAUGGCAGCUGUUGAUAUAUUCUCUCCUGUAAUGCUAACACAUUCAAUUAAGUUGUGCUGGAGGUGCUAUAUAAUAUUGAAUACAAGAAUUCUGAAUUCCAGAGCACAUAUGGCUAUAAGAUUUUUGGGUAAGGGAUUAUGGGACUUUCUCAUAAAGCUCACAGGUUUCAUUGUGGUGUUGUCUACCUUUUAUUCACAUGCAUGUUUUUACAUAUUUGUAAAUGUAGUUUUCAUACAGUUUUGCAUCUUGCUUUGCCCCCUCUCAUCAUUAUGAUCUUUUUCCCUAUGGUAUUCCAUAGUUUUGUAAUCAUCACUUAUUUAUUUAUUUUGCUACCAGAUGCAUAAUAUGGAGAUCAUUCUCUCUCUGUGGACAUUUAAGUUGCUUCCAAAAUUUUGUUUUUAUAAAUGAUGCAGCAUGAUAAUCUUUGUAUUAAGUAUUUUUUUGUAGUUUAGAAUAUGGAAAGGCUGACAUUUUUUGAAUACUUACUACAUGUCAGGCACCUUGCUUUGCUUUGAUUUCAUUGAACCCUCACAACAACAAUCUCAACAGUUAGAUAACUACAAUCUCAACAGUUAGAUAACAAGUAUAUAGCAUGGUCUCCAUUUCACUUUCAGUGGAACUCACUUGGAUAGGAAGAAUGACUUUUCCAUGGGGAAAACAGAUCUGAACCCAGAGGACAGAAAUGUGGCUAGUAGGGUGUUUUCCAGUGUAAGACCAUUAAGUCUCCCCAACCCCUAUGCACCUAGUGUGGGCUGCAUAAGCUGAAAAUGAGGAGAAAAUGUAAAAAGUACCUCUCUGUGCAGGUACACACACGCAUGGGCAGGAUGCUGUCAGAGCAUUCAUCCCAAUUUUUGUCUGAGGUCUCAGCAAAUAGACCCCAAAGCAACAAAGACCCAGCAUGUCUGAGAACACCCAUCUAGGGCAAAGGGUUUAAUAAGAAGUAAGAGGGUGGGUCAGGGUAUGUGAGGUAAACACAUGCUCUGAAAGAACAAGAUCUCAAGAUUCUAUAGGCCAUCACUGGGCCAGCACCAGAAACUACUUGGUCUAGUGAAAGAAUUCAUACUCUGGAAGUUGAGUCCAGAUGCUGCCAUUUACUGGCUGUGUAAAUCUUGGAGGGACUGCUUGGCCUGUCUGGGGCUCAGCAAUGGUACCUACAAUACAGUCAGGCUAGUGGUUUAUGUCUACCUAUCUUGGUGAGUUGCUAUGAAAUGAAAAUAAUAAAAUGGAUUUAUUUGUGAAUUUAUUUGUCUGCAAACAUUUUAUGUACAGUAAUAAGUCAGAUUUCUUAGUUUCAGUAAACAGGAAUCGACUCUGGCUUAUUUGAGGAGAGGAAUUUAUGUAAAUGAUAGUAGGACUUGGAAAUCCCCCCCCCCCAAUCCCCAAACAAAUCUGAAGAACCAAAAUGAAAAAACAGACAGGUGCAAAGGAGGUCAGGCAGCAGCCGGGACCAUAGCCCAAGGCCACCCUGAACUGUGUGGGGAGGACUCCCCAGCUGCUGCUGUCCUGGAGACCACAGCUGCACAGCUGCAGUCGCUGCUGAUGCUGCAUCGCUUUCUCUGAAAACUGGAGGUUGCUACUGCUUCUGCUGCCUCUGCUAAAACUGGCUCUCUCCUCUGUCCCUGCUUCUUGGACUCACUAGCUCCCAGUUCAGAGCCUGGAGUUGAUUUAUCUGAUUGACCAGGGCUGAGUUUUACAUGUUAAUGCCUUAGAUGGAACAGGAACUGAGAAAGACAAUACCAGGCCUUUGUAGCUACUGGAGUGGGAACUGACUUCUGCCGUUACUGUGUCUCAUUCAGAGGGAUAAUUCACUACACCUAGGGAGGCUUUCAGAUGUUGGACAACUGGAAACUGACAAGUGUCUAUAAUAUGUACCUAAAAUGGACCAGGCUUGCAUAGAAUGCAGAAUAGGUACUAAGGUACCAUGAAAACUAUACAGGCAUUAGGGGACUCUGUGACUCUUGUCACAUUAGAGAUAUGGAUUCUGAGAUCCUAGUAAGCAAGUGGACAGUUAUUAUUAGCACUUUCACUCUUAUUCUCCCCCAAACCAUGAGCAGUCCUGUGUUCACUUGUGGGAAUGUGACACAAAGGUGCCAUCAGCCAUGGGUAGACUAGAAAUAGAUUGAAAAAUGUGACCUAUGUGGAGGCAGUGACUACAUUAUUUGUCUCAUUGUCCUUGGCACUACUGCAAUGGCUGGCAUUCAGCAGACACCCUGUAAAUGUUAGAAGUGAGUAAAACCUCGCUAUUCCUCCUGCAGAUUUAGUUACUGAUGAAGUAGCAUCUAGGCCUGAGCAGGAAGUCCUUACAGAGUUUGGAAGCUAUCACAUGCUUUAGAAAAGGGAAGAAUGAUAAAGUAUUGCCUUCACAGGAAAAAUUGAAAAGAGCAUUUAAAAAAUCCAAAAUGUUUCCGAACGUUGAGGAUUUAACAGGUUACUCGUAUCAUCAUCUGGAUACAGAUGUGCUAUGCCUAUAGGGUAGGUGAUUCUUGUAGGAAUUUUAAAAAAAUUGUUUUUAGCACUGGGAAGUUGUGCUCUCAGAACAGAAGUGCAAUCAGGUCCUUUGAUUUUUUUUUCUACUUUUUAAAAGUUGGUGCAUUGUAGUUGUACAUAAUGAUGGGCUUUGUUGUCACAUAUUUGUUCGUGAACACACUAUACCAAUAUAAUUUAUCCAGUAUCACUCUCUGGCACAUCUGUCCUUCCUCCCCAUCUCCCACUCAUGGUCCCUUUCCUCUAUUGAUCUCCCUCUGAUUUUCAUGAGAUCUACCCCUACCUUUCUUUUCCCUUUUCCUCUCUAGCUUCCACAUAUGAAAUAAAACAUGUUCCUUGACCUUCUGAGUUUGAUUUAUUUUGCGUAACAUAAUGGUCUCUAGUUUCAUUAAUUUUCCGGCAAAUGACAUAAUUUCAUUUUUACUUAUGGCAGGUCCUUUGAUUUUUAAAUUAAAGUUUCUCUGUCACCUCCACUCAUGGUGUCUAAGCAUGUGGGACUCCUUUCAACCAGGAACAGAACAACUAUUCUUCUCCAAUUUUGAAUAAUCUUGUGUGUAAACUCCCAAAUAAAUCACAACAGAUAAAUACAUCCAUGAUUCAUAUCAAGUCAUGAGCACAUCUCUGCAUCAAGCCCAUGGAUACCUGUCCCUCCAUUAAAAUGUUUUUAUAGAACUGAGUGCUAAUAUGGUAAACCCAAUGGCAUAGGAGAAGGGCUGGCCACAUGCUCAAUGGUUGUGUUUUUGGUAAAACUGCCAUGGAGCUUACCAUCAAUCAUGUUGCUCAAUGUUUCCGUACUAGUUAUCAUUUUUGUCUUCAAGGGAUGGAAGCUCAACUCAAAUGAGCUUAGACAAGGAGGUAACAUACAGCAUAGGAAUUGCUGGGAUGUAACAGAGCCCAGGGAGAAGAGGAACCAAGUCCUCAAACACAAUCAGAUUGCUCUCUCUCCUCCUCUCACUUGUCUCAUGUGGAAUUUUCAGUUUAAGUUCUGGCACAUGGUUGGCAGCUUGCCUGUUGGCAGAUCUGAGACUCACUUCCCCCAGCUUUGGUUCUAGAGGGAAAUUGAAGGACUUUCUUUAUCUUGAGUCUGAAGAGUCCUUGGGAAAGAACUGAUUGGUCCAGUAUCAUUCGAUUACCCAUUCUUCCACCAAUUGCUGCCAUCAGGGGGCACUAUGAUCAGCUCAGCUUAGGAGUUCACCAUUGGUCAAAGAGGGAUGUUUGUGUAUGGUGGAGGGGAGGAGAGAGGGAGAAAGAAAAGAGAGAGGCAGGGAGAGAGAGUGUGAAGAAGGAGAGAGAGAGUGAAUCAGAUCAGGAAAGACAGACAGAAAAAGAGACAGAGACAUCUGCAAAAACGUGAGAACUCCCACAUGAACAACAUAAUUUGAGUGGGACUGGUUGAGGAGAAGAGAAUUUCCCAGAAAAGGAAGACACUGGAUGAAAGGAGAAGCAAAUGUUCACUAAAGAGGAAUCAAAUCCUGUUUUUUUUUUUUUUUCUUUCACUAGCCAACUUACCAUAUUUCUGUAUUUGCUUUGGCUGUCCUUAGCUUGAAUUUUAAUAACAGUUUCCUCUUUAAUCACUUAAUUCUUAUUUUGGUUGGCACUGCUUUGAAUUUUAAAACCCAUCUCCUUCUUUAGGAUAAGCCAUCUUAAAUUCUUUUUGGCAAGUCCAUCUCUAUAUAAAGAUGCUUCCUUGCUAUGAAAGAAGAUCAUUUAGGCAACUGUGUGCCCCCCACCAGCUGUAAGGGUAUAUGUUCUUUCAUUGCAUGUAUAUUUCGUGGAAAGCUUGAAGGUCACAGUAAUUACAGGAGUGUUGAUACUGCUCUGACUUUAAAACACAAUCAAAAUAAAACUAGCAAGAUACAUCAAGGAUUUAAAACAUCCAGCAGAUUUGAAUGUAGUGAUUCAGGUCCUGGGGUCAAGUAAGAGCUUACUGAAUUCAAAAGACCCUAUGUCAUGUAGAAUAAGCUUGGGUUUAAAGAGGGCAGAAGAACAAGACAUUUUGGUAUUAGGAAAAUAGUGGGAGGGGCAGAGGCCCAGUGAAUAAUUCCUGGAAAGAGAGGUUAGCAGACACAACACACACACAAAUGGACAGAAGAGAGUAGAGAUUAGGAAGAGAUAGGAAAGUAUCAGGUGUCUCACAGCAUCCUUAAGGCUCAGGACAGCAGGUUGGGUUGGAGGGAGGUGGCUGUCUCAUUUGCUGGUGGACCCAGAAAUGGAGAAGAGAAUUCUUAGUAAGCUCUAUGAAAGUCCUCCUUCUUCCCACAUGUCUUCACCUUACCACUGUUCAUUGGCAAGCCUUCAGUUGCAGAAUCCUGGAUCAUAUUACCUCUCCUGGAGUACAAAUACCUGGAGAGGAGGGAAUGCAAAACACUAAAUUUUUGUUACUGUAGUGUUGAGUGGGUUUAAGGAAAUUUCAUCUGUCCAUUCAUAUAGUCAACCAAUGGACCCAAAUUUACUAAGUGCUUACAUACUCUAGGCCUGGCAUAAGGUAUGCAAAGGUGAAUGAGUUAUGGUUCCUUCUAACCUGGAAGACACAACCUAGUUAGGGGAGAGAGAUGAGUAAAUCGAUGUUUAGAGUAUGGGGUGACAGGCACCACAAUGGAGCCCUGCAAAAGGGCUAUGGGAGCUACAGGAGGGCAUAUCAAGCCAGAGAAAAAGCUGUCAGAAAAGUCUUCCCAGAAUAGAUGAGAGUUGAGGCAUGAGUAGGCAUUGGCCAGAAUGGGCCAAGUGAAGGGGAGAAGGAAAAUACAUCUGGGGAGGAGGUACCAUGCAGGGCCAGCACAGGAACCACAGGGAGAAGAGCAGAGGUGCAGUAAAGGAGAUGUGUAGUCAGGGAGAGGGGCAGGUCAGGUCAUGACAGGUUUUGUUGGGCGAAGCUGAGGGGUGAAACACAUGUCACAGGCAGUGAAAAGCCAUGGAGGAAAAGUUAAACAGAAAAACAAUAUGAUCUGAGAUCUCCCUAUAGGGUCAAGGUCCCAUCAGUCUUUGGAGACCCUCAGGUGGUUUCAAGAAGUUACAGUGAGAGGAGAUAAGGGUCAGAAUGAAGGCAGAGGCGGUGGCCUGGGGAGGCAGACUUAAGAUGCUGAGUUCUCUCUGAGGGCCUGCAGGGCAGACAGACCUCCCACGGCCCCAGGGAGAGGCUGCACUGCCUAGUGAGAAAGGGGAAGAAUGGAGAGUGGGAAGAUUGGAAGACAACGGAUGUCACACUUCCUUGAGGGUUGACUCUGAGCUUCAAGAUUGGGAAGAGAAACAGGAGGUAGUGUGACCCUAGCAAUCCUUCAUGUGCCCACGCAUCCCAUUUUAGAGAAAUGCCCCAAAACAUAAUGAAUAAUUUAAAAGUAAGUCAAGUUCUGAACUUGCAAUUUUUGAACACUUUGAAGGAGAUUCACACUACAGUUAUUACUAAAAUCUCUUUCCCUUACCUCCGGAGUAGACCAGUGUUAGUUUUAAGGUAUCUUCCUUUGAAAAUUUUUUCAAUUUUUGUUUUUGGUAUUGGGAAUUGAUAGCAGGGGUGCUCUGCCACUGAACUACAACCCUAGUCCUUUUUGGUUUUUAUUUUGAGACGGGGUCUCACUAAGCUGACAAGAAUAGCUUUGAACUUGCAAUCCCCUUGCCUCAGCCUCUUAGGAGUUGGAAUUACAGGCUUUUCUUUAAAAUUUCAAUAGCCCUCUAUCUCAGAGGACCAGUUAGAAAUAGGAGCCCCUUUCUCUGCAGUCCACAUUAGGAUGCAAGACUUGGAAAGUGUAGCAGGGACUAAGUGAGACUGGGUCCUGGUACCCCUGGUUAGCACAACCUUCAGGGGCUCCUCCUCCACCUCUGGCCUCACAGCUGCUGCCUGUCAGAAGCUCCUGCGUUUCUCCCCUUUCCCUCUGGCUUCUGUAUCACGAAAGGCUAAGGAGGAGGCCUGGCUAUCCAGAUUGCAUCGUGACAGCUGUCAGAGAAAGUAGUCUGGAAUACACAUAUGACCACCAUUGUCCUGUCACAACAGGCAUAGCUUUGAUGAGGGGAGCCUCAACAUCUGAAUACCUUGGGGUGAAGACUGGACCCAGUGUCGGUUUGUGAAUUUCUAAGUGGUUGGAACCAGGGAAUGUUCAAAAUAUCUCUAGACAGGGCCAAUCUUUGAAUUCUGGUCAGUGACAGUGGUCAAAGGUAAGCCAGGCGGCAUCCUGGGGGGAAGGGUGAGAUGGAAAAUGUUCAGAAAAAGAAGGUGAUGUGGAACCUCCAGGACAGUAGCCUGGUCAGGAUGUGACAGUGGACAGUAAGCACAAAUGCUGACUUUGCUCCUGACCCUAUAGGGAAGUGAGAAUCUAAGCAAAGCUCACAAAAGAGGAGUGUGAAGGAAGUGGUAUUUGGUUAGGGGAAGCCAGGUUUUCAUCACCAGCAAAGAUGUGGGAGAUGUACAAAACCAAAAGCAAAUUAAAGCAGAGAAUAACCACUGUGUUCUGUAAUAUAAAAAUCUCUAGGUCCUGGGAUAAACAGCAAUGGACAUGGAAUUCUAAUUCAGAGAAUUGUUAGGUAUUAUGUUUCCUUGACACAUGCCUUGGACAAAGUCUCCCAGGAACUUAUUGCUAUUUAUUCUCAUAGCAGUUAGAGGAGAAAUGUGGGUUUGGAGUUUGGGGUCGAAUAGGCAAAUCUGUGGGGCUUACUUGAAGUAUGGGACUACAUUGUAUGUGUGGCUUACUUUCUAUCCAUCCAUCCAUCCAUCCAUCCAUCCAUCCAUCCAUCCAUCCGUCUGCCCAACAACUACUAGAAGUAUCUCCUCUGGGCCAGUAAUUUGAAUUGAGAGAGAAAUAAAAUCUAAUCCCUUUCCCUCAGAUGCUUAUUAGUCUAAUAGAGAAGACAUAUUAAAACCAGACCACCAAAGUAUAUCAGAGAGGCCUGCCUGGAGCCCAGGGUGCUGAUGUGAACGGAUUGGAAACUGCUAGUCACUGGAUAUAGCUGCACUGUAGGAUGGGAAAGGAAGUGCACAGACCACAUUGUAAAGGACCUUUAUGACAAUGUUGACAGGACUCAAGGUUUACUUUUUCUGGGCACCUGUAAUAUAAUCUUCAUGGGCCCUUUGCUGUUCAGGAUUUCUCUUGUCCAGUUGAAUCAGUUGGAACUCUGCAUUGCAAGUGACAGUCAGUCAGUUCAUACUGGUUCAAACAUAAAGGAAAGAAAGGAAUUUGUUCAUAUGCUUUUAGUUUUUUCAUGGAACUAGAGAUUAAACCCAGGAUCUCAUGCAUCCUGGACAAGUGCUCUAUCACCCAGCUACACAUCCAACUCUUGUUCAUGUAAUUUUUUUUUUUUGGUACCAGGGAUUGAACCUAGGGGUGCUCAACUGCUGAGUCACAUCCCCAGCCAUUUUUAUUUUUUAUUUUGAGACAGGGUCUUGCUAAGUUGCUUAGGGCCUCACCAGUUGCUGAGGCUGGCUUCGAACUCACAAUCCUCUUGCUUCAUCUUCCUGAGCCAUUGGGAUUAAAGGCAUGUGCCACUAUGCCUGGCUUGUUCAUGUAAUUUUAAGAUAUCCAGGAGUAUAGUUUUAUGUAUAGUUGAUCCUUGUCCUCAAACUAAUCUCAUCAGGACUCAGUCGCAUUUUUUUUUCUCUCUCUCAUUACUGCUUUCCUCUCCCAGGGAGAGGGUCUUCACACAGGGAGGCAAGUAUCUUUGAACUUUCAUUUCUACCAGUUUAGCAAUCUCAUGGGAGGAGAGCUUCUGUUCCUCAGUAAUUCCAGAAAAGUUCUGGAAUUGGCUUUGCUUAGAUCAGCUUUGUCAUGUGUCUGUCCCUAACCAGUCACUGUGGCAUAGAGGACAUAACAUGUGUUCGUUUCUGGUCUAAGAGGUAGGGUCAGCCCCAUCCAAACAUCCCAGGCUAACAAAGGAUGAGAGGUAGCUCCCAAUGGAAAAUACAGGUACUCCUACUGAAAAGGAUAGGAAUGGUGCUGGGCAGGCAAAACAAGAAUUGCCCAUUCGAUCUCUGAGACUGAGUCAUUGCUGAAGCCUGGCCACAAGCAUUGUUAUGAUUGAUGUUCUGUCCAGCCUGGUUGUGCAGGACAAAACAAGCUCUUCUUUCUGUUAUAAAUUUGAAUGGAGUGAGUUACAUGGCAUGUUGAGACAUCAGCAGUGGUCCCGUGGGUCUUGAAGGACUCUAGUUCCAUAGUAAUAUGGCCAGGUUCUGAUAUCUCCAAAAGGUCCAGGUGUCCUUGAGGAGUGGUGAACUUAGACAAGGAGCAUGGCAGACAGCAAUUCUUUUAAGGUUUGGUAAUGCUUAGAGUCCAUGAUGGGAAGCUCUGGGUUUCCAGUUUCAUCUGUCAUCUUGGUACAAAGACUCAGCCAGUGGCUGGGGGUUCAGAGUUAACUUCAAACUCCAGAGAGAAAUGUAGAGAAUUGUUAUUCUUGUAUCUGUACUGGAAAAAAGAGAUGGCCAUGAAUAUUCAAAUGCUUCUCUGAAGAUGUAGUGGUCAGUUCUCCAUUAUUAUAACAAAACAUCCAGAGGCUGGAUACUUUAAAGAAAAGAAGCUAUUAAGCUCACCAUUCUGGAAGUUCAAGGGUAGGGUUCUAGCACUGGCUUGGGUUUGGUGAGGGCCUCCUUGGCUGUGUCACAGGAACAGUGUAUCAUGGCGGGAGUGCAUGCUAGAGGGAGAGAACACAUGGUGAGACAGGAAGCCAGAGAGCAUUAGGGAGGGGCCAGUUUUGCUCUCCUACAAUAACUGUCUUGUGAGAAGUCAUCAGUGUCCCAUGAGAACCACCUCAAUUCCCUCUGAGUGCAGUACCCACAUCAGCCUAACCACUUUGCACUAGGAUCCAUCUCCUAAAGUUCUCACCACCAUACACCACCACAAGGAGGACCAAGCUUCCAAUACAUGAACCCCUGGGGGACAAACCACAUACACACCUCAGCAGAAGGCAUCACUCCAGCUGUAUGCAGUUUGCAUGUGCACAGCAGACAAGAACAAAAUUGUAUGCUAUUAUUAUUAAUAGAGCUUUGGUGCCAAGCCCUCUUCCAGAACUCCUACCUCCAAUGAACUGUACUACUCAAAUAUAAACUGUGGUGCCUUUUCUUUGCAUGUAAACUAGGGAAAGACUAAGAGGCCAGGAUGAGGCCUUCUUUCAUCUGAGCUAUGCAGGUUAGGAAGAAGAGAUUAAUUCGUUCUCAUUCUAGGAUUCUAGGGGGCUAGAUCUCAGAAGGUGAAAGGGAGACUCUACAGCAAGAGGGGACUUUCCUGGGACAUGUUUGCCUGAGCACUGCAGCAUUUUUUUUCCUUGACUUUAAUCUUUAUUGAAUCUCUUUCUCAGAUGUGAACCAAGGGAGCCUGUGUAGAGGAGUGGGGGUGACUUCUUUCUAGGGCAAUGGUUCUUAAGCUUUACUUGCAAAGGAAUUAUAGGUGGGGCCCAGAGAAGCCUAAUAAGAUACAUCUCCCUAACCCUACUGCCAAGGAUUUUAAUUCAGUAGGUCUGGGGUAGAUGGAGUUUGGGAUUCUGGGUUCUUAAAGGGUACCCAAAGUACUAAGCAGCUGGGCCAGGGAACAUGCUUUGUGACCUACCUCCUGAGGCUGCUGUAUCUGGAAGCCAAGGAUGUAAGCAGGACUCUAGUGUUGGGAUGGGAUCUGCAUGAUAGGACUGAGGGACAGCUUGAAGUCAGAAAUUGGGCUGAACUGAAUGUUUAUUUGCUUCCCUUGGUUAGGACUAUGUGGAAAACAGCAGGUGGAAGAUUUCAGUACCUUGAGCUUAGAGUUGCUGGGAAGCAUACAGAGUGAUGUCAUGCCAUACCAGGUCACACUUGCAUCUGCUGACUCCCUGCUUUGUUUGCAGUGGAAACCCCUAUGAUUGGCUGCAUUGGUUUUAUAUCCAAUAAUCCCUUUUUAACAAUAGUGGUCAUUGUGCAGCACAGGAUGACUAGUUUGAAACAUUAUUUUAACUGAUUGCAUACACAUUGGACACUUGUAUUCUUGAGUAGAACUUCACUUACUUUGUAACUAAUGUUAAAGCCAGUCCAACACAGAAGAUCUAUCUCAGUGAAGGAGAGGAGUCAGUUUUUGGUAUAAAUGGGAAUAGUGAUGGGGUUGGAGAUAGAAUAGAGUAGAGGCAGGCAGGGAGGAAGCCAGUAUAAGAUAGUGGAGAUGAUGGGGUUUAUAGGGCUUAGAUUGGUGUUUGGAGUUCAGAGCUAUGGUGGGUUGGGGAGUGAGUGAGCUAUAAAUAGUCGAGCUGGGUGAAAUGUUCUGAGCUGCUGAGUUUAAGAAUUACAGGAGCCCCUAGAACUCAUCAAAGUUAUAAGUAGAAUGCUUGAGUGCAUGUGUGUCCUCCUCAAAUUUCAGGCUCUGGGAUCUGGGGCUGUGAUGUGUUCAUCAUCAUGGGGGUGGAGAGCACGUGGGGCAGGACUCCCCAUCCAUGACCUCUACAGGGUGCUUAACCAUUCUUGGAGUGGCAGAUUCCUGUCAAAAACAAAAGCAAAGGAACUAGGAAGGACAAGUUGACUCAUUCCUUCAUUUGCUUAUUCCCUCAUUUUUUCUGGAGACCAACUCCCUACUGGGUGGGAGCGCUGGUCUAGUCUUGGGGAUACAGUAGCAAAUAUGGCAGAACUCAAACCCUCAAUCAGUUCACAUUCUAGUCAGGGGACAAUUGUUAAACCAAUUAACAAGUAGGUGAUAGCAGGGUUAUGAAGAAAAAUACAGGAAGUGAAGGAAGUGAAGGUGUUAGGGAAUGACUAUUUUGGUUUGGGGACAGCAUCAGGGAGAGCCUCUGAGGAGGUGACAUUGGGGCAGAGAUAUGAAGUGAGGAGUAGGCCCAGUAGAGAUUAGAAGGGUGUGGGGCCCAGGCAGAGCUUGACUUCACCCCAGAACACCUUCAGGCUGCGGAUGUUCUCAUGGCUGAUGUGGGAGAUGGGCUCACUGGCUAAGGCUUUUUGGGGUCAGCACUGAUUCACUGUACUAGGCGUCUGGCUCACUGUUAUGAGACCGUUUAUGCUGUAAAAUGAGGAUCCUAAUAGCUACCUCUGUUUUACAAGAAACUCAUGAGAAUUGGUCAGCAUCUUUGGAAAUAGUUUUUAUUAUACAAUAUCUUAAAUGUAUGCUAUGAGUUAAAUUGUUACCAAUUAAUCCAGCUGUGUGAUCAGAGAACAAAAUGUGGGCUGGUACACUUAGGGCUGACGCUGAGCUGACAUCCUCCACCCCACCUAUACAAAAUUUGGCCUUGAACUCUUGCUGAUUUUCUUGCACUGUUGAGUUAUGGACCAAGUCCAAAUGCUAGGUUCUGUUGAUUGCUGAUCACCUGUGAGGACCAAACUUUGACCACAGUUUUCCUGGAUCUCCCAGCGGGAGCAGCGGGAGGCCUAGAAAUUUAAUUUUUGAGAAAUAGAUUUCUCCCCAAUUUCACUUUAUUCAUAUUCAGUAUGGUGGCCAUGGCCCAGGACAGUCUAUUUAAGUGGCAGAAAAAUAAACAAAAACAUCUUGGAAAAGAGCAGUGAAAUGCUGGGAUUUGGGAAUCAAAUGUGAGAGAAGGACACUGUUUUUAGAAUACUUCCCUCCUUUCUCCCAGGCACAGUUACUGAAUUAAUGUCUGUAGAGCAACCUGUGUGUUGGUGUUUCCCUGGCUCUGGAUGGUGGACAGAAAUAUAGCAACUCUGACAUCAGUCACACCAGUCAUCCAAACACAUCAGGCCAAAUGCUGCCAGGUCAAGGGUCACAAGCUGAAGUGAUGCACGGUCCUCCCAGAUACCUCUGGGUAUCUCCCAACAGCCUGCUGAGGUCUAUGAUCUGGUCUGAAAGGCCUUCCUUGAUUGAGUGCUUACCAGGUACCAGGUAUUGUGCUAACCACUUGAUGCACAUUACCUUGCUUAUUCUUCCAAACAAUUCACGGAGGCAGUGACUGUUGUAUCAUUGAACAGAGGAGCAAACUGAUGUUUCUUCACUUGCACUGAGUCCCGCAGUGAGUGCUGAGUGUUGAGCAUAGAGCCUACUCUGGACUGCAGCCCUUCUCUGCCUUCCAACAGCUAGGCAGCAACUCUUCUUCCUUGCUUGCCCUUAGACUCCCCAAAACUCCUUUGCUUGUGCACAUCCAAUUCACACAUAGAAAGAAAGCCACAAGUGCUGAGCAUUUUCCUACUCCUGGGUUGGCCUUAACUGAAGGCUAUCAGCAGUACCCACUGUCAUAGCCUAUUGCCUUUGCCUCUUUUGGGACCACUCUGAAGUAUGUCUCCAGAUCCUUGCAGGGUCAGAUUGAAGUGAUUUUCUGCAUGACUUUGGUCUUACUUGGCUUCCUCCCUUAACACAUCCCUAGCAUAGGAGGAUCUUCUCCUGGAGAAUCCAGGUACUAGUUGGUAUGGGCUGAGCCGGGGCAGGAUGUUAUCCAGUGAUUGUGAAUCCAAGAAAGAAUUUGGAUGGGGAAUCUAGCAGUGACAGCCCAAAUAACAGUCCAAGUGACCCCAAAGAGACCAAUAAAAUAUCACAUUGAAAUACAUAUUAUUUAUUUAAGAGUCCUCCUGUGUGUCAGGUGUCACAGGAGACCAUUUCCACACAUACUUCAUUAAUGUUAGAACAUCUCUCCAUUAGGGUUUCUUAGUUUUCUUCUGAAUGUUGAAGAUCACAAAUUGUCCCCGACUUAACAAUAAUUCAAUUUGAUUUUUUGAUGGUAUGAAAGUGAUGUGCACUCAGGAGAAAUUGUACUUCGACAUUUGAGUUUUAUUCUUUUCCCCUGUUCACCAUGUGCUGUCUCAUAUUCUGCUGUGGUGCUGGGCAGUGGCUCUGAGCCACACAGCUCCCAGUAAGUCAUUUGAUCACAACACUAAACCACAGAGGCUCAAUAGCACACCGUGUUACUACACUAUGAUGUUCAGUAGGUUAGGUGUGUAAAAUGCAUUUUUUGUGGGGAUUGUACCAGGAAUUGAACCCGGGGGUGUUUAACUCUGGGCCACAUCCCCAGCCCUUUUUAUAUUUUAUUUUGAGACAGGGUCUUGCUAAGUUGCUUAGGGGACUCGAUAGGUUGCUGAAGCUGGUUUUGAACUUGGGAUCCUCCUGCCUCUGCCUCCCAAGCCCCUAGAAUUACAGGCAUUUGCCACCAUUGAGUGGCUUCAUUACAUGCAUUUUUAUUCUAUGAUAUUUUCAAUUUACUAUGGGUUUAGAGACACAUGAACCCAUUGAAUGUUGAAGAGCACCUGCAUAUGGUUUUAAAAAAAUUCACCUUUCACUAAUCUUAAAAUCACAUUUGAAGUGAAAUAGCAUUUCUAAAUUUGAUGCUGGUGGGUUUCCAGAGGUGUUGCAUCCGUUAUGUGAAACUUCAUCCAACCUCAUGAUCAUGCCCACUAAAUGACCUAUUUUCCAUGUAUUUGAACAUAGGAUGUUCAUGUGGAUGAUUGAGGGAUAAUUGCAGAUCUGGGUGACCCUGACUCUGUGCAGGAUUGAUGCUGUAGAACUGUGCUGCCUAAUAUGGCACCACUACCACUUGUGACUGUCAAGCAUUUGAACUGUGGCCAGUCUCAACCAAGAUGAUUUUAAGUCUAAAAUAUACAUGUUGGAUUUUUGCAGACUUAGUGUGGCAAAAUAAUAUAAAUUAUCUUAUUGGUAAUUUGAAAAUAUUCCUUUCAUGUCAAAAUGGUAAUAUCAGGUCUACACUGGGUUAAGCAAAAUAGGUUAUUAAAAUGGGUCUUCAUCUCUUUUUAAUUUUUAAAAAGUGUGAUGACUGGGACAUGUCAAAUUACAUAUGUCAUUACAGACCUACUUAGCAGCACUGCCCUAGAAACUCCAACAAAGGGAGGCUUACAGCCUGAGCUUGUCCAGUUCCUCCAAGCGAGAGGCAUUAGCUGAGAAGACAUUGUAUGGUUGACCAGAAGGAUUUUUUAAAUGAAAUCAGGAGGCAACAAGGCGAGACCUGCAUGACAUCACUCUUAAAGGCACAUGAUUGUGGUUCUGCAGACAGCGCCCUGCUGCUGACCAAGAAGAUUUAUGACUGAAGAAAGUGGCUUGUAAAUCGGUCACCUGCCCAAGUGACAUCAUUGCUUCUUUGGUCCCAGGCUGGAAUUUAUUAACUUGGUAGCCCUGGAAUUCACAUUUGCUCUUCCUUUCAUGCUGUCUUAGUCUUGUGAGAAGAAAGACGCCAGUUGGGGGAAGACAGAAGAAGAAGGAGGAAGGAGGGGUGGGAGGGUCAUCAUUGGUUAAAGCAAAAAGGACAGAGAAAGGAGGACAGAGGGACACCAGAGGGCAAGAUCUCACUGGCUAAAACAAAAGCUUUGAGAAGUCAGCAAGUCAAAUGAUCCCUCCACCCUCGUGUGUGUGUGUGUGUGUGUGUGUUUGGACUUUUGGAUGUUUGAUCCUGGGAAGCCACAAUCUACCUUUGUCUUACAUAUUAGGUAAAGGGGAAGGGAAACAGAUGAGUGAUUACAAUUCAUUUUAAGACAAUUUAUUUCCAGUCGUGAUAAAUAGGAGGUGUGGGAAAGGAAUGGGGAGCAGGACAUAAGGAUAUAAUCCCCUCUGUGUCUAAAUGGAUGUCCCAGUUUGGGGACCCCUAUUUUUUAAUACCAGGGCUCCACUCUGGGACCUUCCUAUUUCAGUGAUUUGACUGGGAGAUAAUUAUUCUCCAGGCAAUAUUCAUUUGUACCUGUUGUUCAGGUAUCUGAGACUUAUAGAGUUCAUUGAAAACUAGCUAGAGAAGUUCCCCAGCAGCCUACUGCCUCGGUUAAUACAUUUUCUGGGAAAUGUCCCUGGCAUUGUCACAAGCCUUGCAACUCUGUUUGGAUGCAGUUAAUUCUUGACUCCAGGGGCAUCCAUCACCAGCAAACUAUGGUGAGAAUAUACCUGUUAAAAAUGUUCUCUCUGAGUUCUGUUGCUGUUUAUGGACAUUCAACGGCUCCCCAUUGUCCACUGAAUAAAAACCUAGUGCCCUGGCCUGCCUCCAGGACCUUUCACAAUCAGGACCCAGGUUUACCUUCCCAGACUCCUCUUACUACCUCCUUUCAAUCUGUGGACCCCAGCUGAAUCACAUGUAGACGCUUAUAAUGACCCUUUACCAUUGUGCUCACAUGGGUGACUGGGAGCUGUGGCUCGCUGCCAAUGCCCAGCAUUUUCAGAGAGUAUUGUGUUGUGUAUCACUAGCUGGGGAGAAGAUCAAAAUCUAAAUUUGAAGAAUGGUUUUUGCCCAAUGUUUAUGCCUUUUGCACCACUGUAAAGUUGAAAAAUCCUGUCAAACCAUUAUAAGUUAGAAAUCAUCUGUAUUUGCUGGUUCUUUUAUCUGCCCUUCUUCUUUAUGUCCCUUCUACUCAUAGUGGUUUUUUUACCUGCAAAUUCUAUCCAUAACCUUCACAUAUCAAAAUUUUCCUUCUCCAUGAGCAGCCACUCCUGGCUUCCACAGCACAUUAUAGUCUUUUAUGGCCUUUUGUUUGUGCCUAUAUAUCCCUGCUAAAUUGUGAACUAUUAGGGUUUGGGGUUAAUAGAGACUGUCAGUAUUAGUCAACCUGAGCUGUUAUAACAAAAUAUCAUAUACUCGGUGGCUUAAACAGUAGAAAUUUUUUUUUCUUACACUUCUGGAGUCUGGAAAUCUGGGAUCAAGUUGCUAGUUGGGGUUUUGUGAGGGCUCUCUUCCUGGCUUGUAAAUGGCCUCCCUCUCCCUGUGUCUUCAUGGUCUUUCCUUAGUAUAUAAGUGAAUGGUGGGGGGAGAUCUUUUUCUCUUCUUAUAAGGACACCAGUCCUGUCUGAUUUGGAUAUCAUUUUUAUGACUUUGUUUAAUCUAAUUACCUCCUAAAUCCCUGUCUCCAAAUGCAGUGGCAUUGGGAGUUUUUAGGAUUUAAACAUGUGACUUUUGGGAGGAACAUAGUUCAGUCUAUGGCGUUCCACAUUUGGUCCUUUAAAGUCAUGCCCUUCUUAUAUGCAAAAUACAUUGAUGACAUCCCAACAGCUCCCCAACUCUUAGUUUAUUUCAUUGUCAACUUCAAAGUCUCAUGUAAAUUUCAUCUAACUCUGAUAUGGGUGAGAUUUGAAGAACAACUCAUCUUAAGACAAAAUUUCUUUCCAGUUGUAAACCUGUAAAACCAAAAUACAGCAGUGGGACAGGAUAGAUAUUCUCAUUCCAAAGGGGAGAAAUAGGAAAGAUGGAAGAGGUGGCAGUUCCCAAGGAAGGGCCAAACCUAGAAAGGUAAAUCACAUUUCAUUUUAAGGAUUGAGAAUAAUCCUCUUUGGUUUGAUGCUGUGCCCUCCAGAUCCAAGGAGGUGGCAGUAUCACUCCCAUGCCUGUAAGUGGGAGUCCUGUCCUCAAAGCUUUGACAGAGGCUGUCCCACCUAUUGAACCAGGUGGCCCUUAUGCUCUAUCUCUAAAUCACCCUCCAGUGAUUGUUUUUUCCUCUUGAGGAAUAGUGCAUGUUGGCAGUUGAGUACCUGAAUCAUCUUGUCCCCCACCAUCAAGUCCAAGUUCAAUAGCUUUUCCUCAUUUGCCCAGCCUCCAUCCCUUCAGUUAAAACUGGCAAUGUUUCAUGUAAUCCCAUAAGUAUUUUAUCACCCCAGGUCAUUUUAUCAAAUAAUAGCCCUUGGUGCUCCCUUCAGAGCGUGCUUUCUCAUGUUUUAUAAUGUUGGUAUGCUGAGAAUUUCCCUAGUCUUUAAUUUCUGUUCCUUUUUUGCUUAAAAAUCCAUCUCCAAUUAAUUACUCUCCCUUUUCGUUUUACUAAGCAGUAGGAAGGAAAGCUGUUCCUCAACCCUGCUCAGAAAUUGCCUCAGCUAAAUAUCUAUUUAAUCACAUAAGAGUUCUACCUUCGACAAAAUACUAGGACACUGUAGUGUUGAGUUUUUUUUCUUUUUUUUUGGCCACUUUAUGAGAGCAACACCUUUCUUCCAAUGUACAAUAACAUAUUCUCAAUUUCCAUGUGAGAUCUCACCAGAAAGACCUUUAAUGCCUAUAUUUCUAUGGACAUUCUGUUCAAGGCAAUCUAGGCUUUUUAUAGCAUUCACCUCAAAACCCCUCCAGCUUCCACCCAUUACCCAGUCCCAAACCAGCUUUCAUAUUUUUAAUUAUUUGUCAUAGGAACGCCCCAUUUCUUAGCAACCAAAUCCAUCUUACCUUGGGUUGCUAUAACAAAAGACCAUAGAAAGGGUGGAUUAACCCACAGAAAUGUCCUUUCUCACAGUUCUGGAGGCUGGAAGUGAGAUCAGGGUGCCAGCGUGGUUGGGUUCUGGUGGGGGCUCUCUUCUUGGCUUGCAGCUGGUCAAUUUCUUGCUGUGUCUUCUUCACAUGGUGGGGAGGGAGAAAGAGAGGGGGGCUGUGGAUUCUGCUCUUUUUCUUCUUCUUGUAAGGUUAAUAAUACUAUCAGAUAAGGACCUCAAUCUUUUGACCUCUUUUAAUCUUAAUUACCUCCUAAAGACCUAUCUCCAAAUAUAGUCACAUUGGAGGUUAGAGUUUCAACAUAUGAACAGUGAGUGGGGGUUACAAUUCACUUCAGAGUACUGCUUAAUAUUUAAACCCGUCUCAUUCCUAUCCCAGUAUCCUACAUAGAGUGAGUGUUCUGUAAAUGCAUGUUGAAUGGAAAGAAAUUGAAUUCCAGCGCCUCCAAGGAGUGGUUUUCAUAAGCUGUGCUGUCUUAGCUUGUCGAAUUUCUGAGGUCUCACACCUACUGGAAGGGCCACAAAGAGUGAACAGGUUUUUGUAGGAAUGGGCUGAAGGAAUUGUCUCAGCUACAGCUAUUAAGGAUCAGACUCAUGGGGUAAGAAUGUUGUGAGGCUGUUAUUCAUCCCCAAGAGAAAUUCCAUCUAGUAUGUAAUGCUAACAAUCAUAAUUCUUCUAAGCAUUUGGAUUUGUUUAAAAAUAUCUAUCACAAGGAUUAUGAAAUUGUGCAUAUAACCGAAUUGCAUUUCUUAUGUGUAGGCUGAAUCACCUGUGAUGAUGGUGCUGCAGCCACGUUGGUGGGCAUUUUGACCUCAGUCACAGAUUAGUUUCAUGUUCCCAUUCAUGGUUUUCUAUUGUCUUCCCUCCUAUUUUAAAUUUACGUAAUCUUGCCAUAUUUUUGGCACCUUUAAACAGAAUUUGGUUACAGAACUUCAGAAAUCUUUUCAGAAGCCUAGUAAGAUUUAAAUGCAUUUUAAAAAUAAACAAAAUUGCUCAUACAUUCCCUGAGGACUAGCAGCUCAAAAAAACCUAAAGAGCAGGAUCAAUUCACAUAUGAGCCCGGUAUUGGGUGAAAAAAAAAAAAAGCCUGUGUUUCUUCUUAUCUAUUAGUUAAUGAGUUAAUCCUUAACAAACUUUAAAAAUAGCUCUUAAAGCCCCAUUACAGAUGAGAAAGCUGGAGCUCAUGGAAAUGAAAAACACGUCCCAUUUUUGAAUUGGUAGGGCUGAUGUUCAAACCCUCAUUCAUCUGAUGCUAAAAUCAACAUUCUUUCAAUCCUGUUCCCCUGCUUUCAAGAUAGAGGCAAAGUUCAUUCCUAAGGAGGAUCAGAGCCAAAAAAUGAGGCAGAGUAAUGACCUUGAGGAGUUCUGGUCCUGGGAAUCCAUGGACAAGUGUUCAACCUCUGGGCUGAGGGGCAGCUGCAAGAGCCAUUUGCACUGUUGGAGGGAAGCUGGGUUCUGAAUGGUGAGGCUAAGUUCAGGCCACAGGAGAGCUUGUAUGAGAACUGAGUUAGCUACUCAGGAGACUGAGGCAGGAGGAUCACAAAUUUGAGGCCAGCCUGAGCCUAUUUUAAAACAAAAAAUAUAAAGGGCUGGGUUUAUAGCUCAGUGGUAGAGUGCCCCUGGGUUCAAUCCCCAGUACUAAAAAAUAAAAUAAACAUCAAAAAAUCCCCUGUUUGGUACUGGGCAAUGAGAAGGAAAGAACAGAUGAGGCUUUGAAAUUUCCCAAGAAGGAUCCCCAGCAUUUUGAGUCCAUAAAAUAGAUCUGGAACUGGUCUUGGGGACCACAGUUAGCCUUGGCAGAGCAGGACAUUUCAUUUCAGGAAGCACUGACUAAAUGUCUGAUGUGUGGUGGGUGCUGGAAAAACAGCCAUAGCCAGGGUUCUGAUCUUGGGGACCCCCACUGUUCUAGGAGGACAGACAAGUCUAAAAAAGGAUCUCUUUAGGUCUGGAAUCAAGGGUCCUAGUAGGAUUCAUAUUCACUCAUCUUUCUUCCAGGGCCAUGUUCUGCAAUGACUUAAAGGAAAAGUAUGAGAAGAGGAUCAUCAUUAAAGGGGUGGACGCCGAGACCAUGCACACGCUCCUGGACUACACAUACACCAGCAAGGCGCUCAUCACCAAGCAGAACGUCCAACGGGUCCUGGAAGCUGCCAACCUCUUCCAGGUGUGUGAACAAAGGGGCUUGGUGCUCUUCUCUCAGGCAGGUGAAAGCAGCAGUCCCCAGAGACCUACCUGGACUGGCUCCCAGGCCUGUAUCUCACCCCACCACACACACACUUAGCUGGGCCUGUGCUUACUUGAAAGUCAGAAGAUGUUCAUUUAGAAAAUUUAUGAGAGGUGGUGAGAUGGGACAUUGACUCCUUCAUGAGAUGAAGUCAGGGAAUCUGGGUGCCUAGAACGUAGACAUGGUUCUGCAGGCACAAUGACACGUCUUGCAAUAGUCUAACUGGAGCCAGACCUGCAACCAGUGCUUCAUAUGCAUAACCUAUGACUCUCAGUACAACCUGGAGAGGUGAUUAUUUCCCCAUUCAUGAGCAGGGAAAAUAAGGCCAUUCAGAGAAUGAUUGACACGGCUGUGAUUUGAACUCUGGGUUUUCUGAUUCCAGGGUCCACAUGCUUGCUACAAUACCAUGCAGUUUCUCAGGCAGUGAUGUCUAAGUUCUGGGGGAAACAGGGCCUGUUGUGAUUACACUGUGUAGUGACUGAAAGAACAAGACUGAAAAAUAUGGGGUAUCAUUGAAAACCCUCAGAAUUAAGUUUAAUUUUAAUAUAACAUGUAUUUCUUCCCAUCCAAUUAUGUUGGCUUCAAUGUGGUUACAAUAAUUAUAUUUAACUUCAUAAAAUAAUUAGACCCAUAGAUGAUGUCAGUUGCAUCCACAAUUAUAUCAGGGGUCCCAUCCCUGAGUCGAAGGUCAUACCAUUGAAAUUGAGUCUAGUGGAUUCAGGAAGAGACUAUCUCAUUGCUUGGAUGUUGAGACUUAUCAGAAACAUAUACAAUAUGUAUAUACAGCAUACUUUUUAGCAUUUGCAAGACCCAGAGAAAGUAGACACUUUCAUUCAUUGCUGGUGGAAGUGUGUAGAAAUUUUUCUGGAAGUCAUUUGGAAACAGAUAUGAAAAACUGAAGGAAUAAUUAUGGAUUUUCAAAGUAAUUCAUAUAAAUAGUUCUGUAGUGAAUUGGGUUAUGUUCCCUAGAAAGAUAUGUCUGAGUCCUAAUCCUUAGAACCUGUGAAUGUGACCUUAUUUGAAAAGAGGGUCUUUGCAGAUAUAAUUAAAUAUCUUGAGAUAAGACUAUAAUAGCUGGUAUCUUUGUGAGAGAAAGGAGAGGGGGGUUUGACCUGGAGGCAAAGGUGGCUUAGGACAACAGAAAUGUAUCCUCUUGGAGUUUUGGAGGCCAGAAGUUCCACAUCAAGGUGUCCGCAGGGAUGUAUUCCCUCUGAAAGCUCUAGGGAUGAAUCUUUCUUUGCCCCUUCCAGUGUCUGGUGGGUUCUGGCAUUUCUUCUAUCGUGACCACAGCUAAUCUCUGCCGUUGUGGCCACAUUGCCUCUUCUUUGUCCACAGGUCCCCUGGAGGUGUCUGUGUUUUAUAAAGGUACAUCUGAGUACAUUUAGGUACCAUGCUGAGGAGAAACACCUCCUCUCAAGCUCCUUGCCUUAAUCAUGUCGUGUGGCAUAUAAGUAAUAUUCACUCCUUUGCCACACAAGGUAGUAUUUAUAGGUUCUGGGGAUUAUGGCAUGAACAUAACUUUUGGGGGCCCAACAUUCCACCUACCACAGAGGGUUUCUUCAAAUACCCUCUGAUGAUUUGAUUCUUGGUAAUCUAGUCAUAUUUUGGAUAGAGGCCUUAAUAUGCUAGUUUGAAGCUCAGUGUACAUAGGCCAGGGUGGAAAGCCAGUGGACAGGAGAGUUUUUCCAGUGCUCUCAGCUAGCCUGCCAGUUUUCUUUUUAUAGGGGGUUCCCAAAUGUUAGAACCUACUGGGCUUUUCUUAGGAUUGCUCAGUUUCUCCAGACAAGGCUCUUUUCUCCUGCUCCAGGGUUAUAAGCCAACUACAUGUAUUAGUUUGUGUGUGUGUGUGUGUGUGUGUGUGUUGUGUGCAAAUCUUCACUUAACCCCUAUAUUUUCAAUAUGAUGCCUGUGUGUGUCUUCUUCAGGUUCUGGUGUCCCUGAAUCUAGAGCUUCUUUGGGCAUGACUUCUCCAGAAAUUAAAUCUUCUUUUCUAGUGGGAGUGGGAUAGGAAUUAUUAGACCAUAUGGAGUUAGGGGGUGAAAGGAGGCACAGGAACUUAUUCAUCUGUCCCCCUACUGUCAGUGGCGCCUACCCUGGCCUUCCUUCUUCCAUAAGACCUCAAUAGUCCUGCUCUUUUGGGUUCAGAGGGGCAAGCUUGUUCCCCUUUAGGCCUGACCUUCCCUCUCAGCAGAGUCACUUGCCAGUCUCUUGUUUUCUGUGGUUUGGGGUUACUGAUGCCGCCUGGUUUCAUUGAGGAUGGUGUUUUAUGUUUCUGUUUUUUUGUUCUCCUUUCAGUUUUGGGUGAUUUUUCAAGAGAUAAAAACUCUUACGAUAUUAAAGACUGUGAUCUUUUAUAAUGUCUUUUGAAAAUAUUUGCCACUGGUCAUUUGACUCAUAAUUUUUAAUUACAGUUUUAUUCCACGUACAAAAGUAUUUAGUCAGAUCUAUUCAUCAUUUCCUUGAUUUUUUUGCUUUUGGUAUACAUUUUUAGAAGGGCUUAUUUAGAAGGGCCUUCCAUUGCUCAUUCUUAUGCUUAUUCACUUAUAACUUCAUUUAAUCUUUUGUAUUUACAGCUUUGAUAUUUAAAUAUUUAUAUAUCUGGAAUUAUUUUGGCAUCAAAUAUCUUCUUCUCCAAUUCCCUUCUCCACCUCCUCCUUUGCUUCCUCCUCUUCCUCUUUCCCCAUCUUCUCCAGGUGAUGAGCCUCAAUAGAGAGGUUGGUUUUAACAAGAGAAGUGGGAGAAGGAAGAUAGGAUAGAGACAGGACAGGCUCUGUUCAUUGUUGAUUCCUCUACUCUGGUAAUCUAACCUUAAAAUUUUUCCAAAUCUCUUUCUAAGAAAAAAAAAGUAAGUUUCUCCCUGAGGCUAUUUUAAGAAAACUAGAGAAACACUCUGUGGACUUCUGGGUCUCCAUUUAACCUACUGAUUUCUCUGGACUACUUGCUACGAAGUCUCAGAUAUGAAAAACUGGUCACAAAAAAUAAAAAAGAAAGUCAAACUUGAAAAAACAAACUGGGACUCCUUUCGUGUGUGAAGGAUAAAAAUUAAUAGGUCACUGAAAUCACUUCAUAGUUUUAAAAGAAUUAUUCUUUGGAAUGGGUAAAACAUGCCCAUGUUCCAAUUUCAGGAAGGCUGAAGGGAAGGCAGUGAGGGUUCGCCAUUGUCACUCUUAGUGAGGUCUUGCUGUUCUUUCUGUUCUAUGUGCAUACAAGACGAUAUACACAUAUAUCAGUCCCAUUCAUUGCUCUCAUUUUACAGACACAGAUGUUGAUAUACUCUAUUUCACAUCCUACUUUGUUUUAUAACAUAUUUUGGAGAUUGUUACAGGUCGGUGUGUGUAGAGCAUUGUGUUUUCAAUAGCCACAUAAUAUCAUUAAAGUCUCCUGAGAUGGGACCUGUUCUCCAUAAUGGUCUCAGAUGAGGCAGAGAGGGUAGAGGGGAAAAACCAUGGGUUCAGAGUCAAGCAGAUUUGGGUUUAAACCCCAAGCCAGCCAUUUGUUUGCUGUGUGCUUGUGGACAAGUUACUUUUCUGAGCCUUAGCUUUCUUGUUUGUAAAAUUAAGAUGUAAAAAUUAAGUUGUUUGUAAAAUUAGCUCUCCUUCCAAGGAGUGAUAUUUUGAGGAUCCAAUGAGAUGAUGUAUGCAAAGUACCGGACAUAUAAUAGAUGCUGAAGAAAAGUCUCUUCCCAUAAUUUGUGUGUUAAUUUUUACUUUACUUUGCAUAGUUUGUGCCUUGGAUAAACUGGCUGACACUGAGCUAUAAGAACAUUUCCCUAAGAAUCCCUAAGUUUUUUUCUUUUUUUUUGGUACUGAAGAUUGAACCCAGGGAUGCUUAACCACUGAGUCACAUCCCUAGCCUUAUAAAGUUGCCAAGACUGACCUCAAACUUGCAAUUCUCCUGCCUCAGCCUCCUGAGAUACUGAGAUUACAGGUCUGCACCACCACUCCUGACAACAUCCCUAAAUCUUUUUGUUGUUAUCCUCCCCAUCCCAAAUUAGGAUUAUAAAGUACCAUGUUUAAGUUUAUUUAUUUUUUUAUCAUGUCCACAUGGUAUGAAGUGAACAGAUGCUUUAUUUCAAUUAACUCAGUCAUAGGUAAAGAAAAGUGUGCUGGAGUUGAUAUUUAUGGUCAUUCUUGAACACCCACAGAAGCUGGCACCUCCUUCGUUGAACUGAAAUCAAUGGCUGUGAGGUUCUCACAUGUCCCCCACCCCACCUGAUAGUAAAGGUUUCUUCACACCACAGAGGUGACUCAGUUUGUUUUCUGCCUGUCCCUUUAGGUCUUCUCUUAGUCUCUUUCUGUUACCCAUCAAUUGUGUUUUCCCAGAAUUUUCCAGUCCAGAAAGGGCCAAAUCGUUGACCAAGUCAGUUAACACUCGCUGUUUGGGAAGAGCAACUUCAUUAGCUGCUGGCUAGUGUGCAGACUGGUGGCUCAAACCAAUCGGGUAUGGCUUGACAUGGGACAGUUCCUGUCAGGAACUGUGUACAAGUACUGACUGAUCUACCCACUACAGGACUUUUGAAGCAAGCUGACCAAAAUUUAUUGGUUGGUUAUAGGAGAAACAGCUCUUCUCUGAGUACUUUUUGGAGAGAUAAAGGUAAGAGAGACAUCUAAAAGGAAAUGCCAGGGGACCUUUUCUGUGAGAUGAUGUCUUUGAGAUGAAUAUCACCCAGCAGGGUGCCUUAACUGGACCUCCAGGCUCUGAGUUCUAGGUAAGCAGCCAGUAAGAAGCUAUAGACACCGGACAACGACUGUAUAAAGUUGGCAAGAUUUCUCAAUCUUGGAGAACCUCACCAUGCUCAUUACUUUUGUUUUUACUCAUUUACUUUAACUUUUUCAUUUUUUUAAAUAAAAACUCAUGAAAAAAAAAUUAGGGCUUGGGAGCUUAUCUACAAGGCAGUAAGAAGAUGUAAGGUCAGGGUGGCAUAUCCUGUAUUUAAUCUUGGAAGAGAAAGAUUUUUAAAAUACAGAGCAGUUGGUUAGAAGCAGCAGCUUAGAAUAAGAAAAACAAAAAACAAAAAUCAACACAGGUGGUUCUCUGUGAGAAAAGAAAGGGGGAUGCUGGUCAUCUUGCCUGGCCUGGGAAGAGUCACAUGAUACCUCCAUGGUACCCUAAGAGCAGCGACAUGACUUCUUUUCAUGGUGACCAUUUGAGGAGACUUUGGUGAAGAUUCCAACGUUGCUUAUUUUCUAGUUAGUUCUUCUGUGUGUGACAAAUGAAUGCUCGUGAGACCUAUGUGGAAGACAGUCUUGUGGCCAGUGGCCGAACCAAUUGCCUAGGUUGGCUCCUGACUUUCUAAUCCAUGGAACAUAGUAGACACUCUAUAAAUAUUGGUUGGAUGAGUGAAUGUGUGAAUGAAUGUGUGAAUGUGUCAUUCUUGUUUAUUACUACAGAGUAGUAGGACUUCCUCAUAAAUUACUUAAGAACUCAAUGAAUAUUACUUGGCCUGGCUCUUAGAAAUGUCAUGGCUGAGUAGAGGAGGAAGAAUUCCACAUGCUAAUACCAAUAAAUUGCUUCAAUUUAAAGUAUCUACUAAGCGCCACACACAUAGUAAAAAGUAGGUAAUGUGCAAAUAGAUUUCUGUUGUCAUUGACGGGGGACCCACAGAUUAGAUUAUAUCCACUUAACACUGGAGUAGCUGAUCACCCUAGGUAAGAAAAUCAGCUCAACUAUUUCUUUUUUCUUUUUUGGUACCAGGGAUUGAACUCACAUAUCAUAUCCCCAGCCCUAUUCUGUAUUUUAUUUACAGACAAGGUCUCACUAAAUUGCUUAGUGUCUCACUGUGACUGAAGCUGGCUUUGAAUUUGUGAUCCUCUUGUUUUAGCCUCCUAGCUGCUGGGAUUUCAUGUGUGCGUCACUGCUCCUGGCUCAACUAUUUCUUUACUGUCAUCUGGAUAAAGUCUUAACACUUUUCAGAUGAGGAAACUGUGGCUCAGAGACAGUUCAGUUCAUCAAGUGGUGAAGCUAUGAUCUGGAGUUUAAAUCUAGAACUUCUGACUCCAUAAUAGGCUUCUAACCCCUACCCCCAAAGCCUCUAAACAAAGAUUCCCAAAGUGUUCCCACCCAGUGGCUGAUCCAAGCACAUUCCAGACAGGAAGGAGGAACAUUGAACUGGACCUCACAGACUGGGUAAGAGUUCAACAAGUGGUGGCAGGGUUGAGGGGAAAGUAUUCCAGGCAGCGUCUCUCUGUACUUGUCCCACCUUAGUGAUUGGAUCUUUUGCAGGUCUUACCUCCUUUCUUUCCUGCCCUCUCCUUAUGGCUUCCAGGAACAAGCAGACCUCUCAAAUAAGACUAAAGCAAGAACUGAAAGGAGGGGGAUGAGAGCAUCCUAAGGGACUGGGGGCAGUAACUCCAAGGCCACUUAGUCAUUAGGGUUGAUGGAAUGCUGAUUUGGACUAAAAUAAUACUUCAGUUACUGUGGAGCAGAUUUGUAGGCACCUCAAGGGAGAUGAAGGAUCACGUGGGAGAAGUCUCUAAGGUCUCAAGGUUUUGGAGAAUGUAAAGGGGAAGGGAAGAGGAGGUUGGAGAUGAGAAACAUUAGGGUGCAUCCUCUUUUUAAAUUUUUUAUUAACAUGUGUAAACUAUAUAUAUUAAUGGAAUUUAGUGUGAUAUUUUCAUAUAGGCAUCCAGCAUGCACUGAUUAAAUCCAAUUUUUUUCACCCUUUCCUUACCCCUUCUCAAUCUAGUAAUCCCAGGUUGAUUUUUCAAAGUUUCCACAUAUGAAAAUACAAAAUAUUUAUCUUUCUGCGUAAGUUCUAUUUAUCUUGCUGAAAACGAUGGAAUUUCAUUCUUAUUUAAGACUGAAUAGUACUCCAUUGUGUAUUUAUACCACAUUUUCUUUAUCCAUUCACCUGUAAAUGGGCAUCUAGGCUGAUUCCAUUUUAGCUAUUGUGAAUAGUGCCUCAAUGAACAUGGGCAUGCAGGUAUCUCUUUGGUAAACUAAUUUCAUUUCCUUUUGAUAUAUAAAAAGAAGUGGGAUGGCUGGAUCUAUUUUUAUUUUUUUGAGGAAGAGUAAAAUUAGCUAGAUGGGGUUUUAUCAAACUCAGAAGCUUCUGCAUAUCACAGGAAACAAUCAAUAGAGUGAAGGGACAACCUAUAGAUGGGGGAAAAUAUUUGCAAAUUACUUAUCUAACAGAGGAUGAAUAUCCAGAAUAUAAAAGGAACUCAAAAAACUUUAAAAUGUAAUCCAAUUAAAGGUGGACAUAUAAUCUGAAUAGCAAGAUGUUUUUCAAAAGACGAAAUACAAAUAUAUCAUUUGUCAGACCUUUUGCUAGUUGCUGCUGGAAAUACAAAUAUAUCUGCCUCUUUGGGACAGAUAUUUCUCAUGGGAACUGCAGUCAUGUCUCAAGUGGUUUCUUUGAUCAUAUUUUUGGUCUCUCUGAAAGAGAGUCAGGUGCUGGCUGUAUGCAGUCUUUUGUUCACAUGUCUCCCCAAACAGGAAGUUGGCAGUUUGUUGCCAUUGUCUGUCAUCUCAGCUCUAACAAGUUCAUGUGUCAUGGGUAUACUCUGAGAAAGAACAUUUACCCUAAGGUCUUGCAAAAUCUUGUGGCAAAGCAAAAAAAAAGUAUUAAAAAAUAAAUUCUUGUUCUCAUGAUUGCCCUGUACAUCACAUCAACCAAUUUCUAGUUUUUGGUCAGGAUCAUGGGAUGCUGACACUCAAAAGUGUUGUUAACACAUAUUUUGGGGAGACAUAGAUAACUUGGAGCCCCCUGCCCACCCUGUGCUCAUAAAGCUGUUUGAUAUUCUUCUGGCAUUUUGUUAGCUUGACAGUGCACGUUACACUGUCAGAGUAAUGUUGAGUGAGGAGAGUUAGCAAGAAGAAAUGGUGUAUGUGUGUGCAUGGGUGUGUGUGCAUGUGUGUGCAUGUGCCUGCGUGUGAACACUUAUACGUAGUUCUGGGGACUGAACACAGGGCCUCAGAAGUGCUCUCCUAAGCCUGUAAGCAGAGAUUGUGAGGAUCAUUUUGCUGCCACUAGUUGAAUGACUUCAGGCAACAUUCUCUAUCUAUAUCUAUAUCUAUAUCUAUGAUAUAUAUGUGUGUGUGUAUAUAUAUAUAUAUAUAUAUAUAUAUAUAUAUAUAUAUUUGUGGAUGGACACAAUACCUCUAUUUUGUUUAUUUAAUUUUUUAAUGUGAUGCUAAGGAUUGAACCCAGUGCCUCACAUGCAAGAGCUCUACCAAUGAGCCAAAACUUCAGCCCUCGGGCAACAUUCUUAACUCUGAAUUCUUGACUCUUUCUUCUAUACAAAUGGUAAUACUAAUAUCCUCUUUGUUUACUUGUUGAAUGAAAUAACAGAUAGAAAAGUGCUUAGCAUAGAUCUUAGUACAUGCUAGGUGUCUGAGAAAUGGUUCCUUCUAUCUCUCCUUCCCCCCUUUCUCUUCUUUUGUUGCUGCUGGAAAUAAAAACACAAAUAUGACCUAGAACCCACCUUUGAGAUGCUAGUCUCAACUGGCCAGAGUGCAAGGCAGAACACAGGUGCUCCACAGAAGGGGCAGGCAUAACCCAGUGGAGCAGAGAGGAGAGAAGAAUUCACUUUGUGUUGGGGAAUUGGAAGCUAUCAAAGAGGGAGAAAAAAAAAAAACUCCAUAGAGAGGUAGAAUUUGUCUACUUCUUUUCCAUCCCCUGAUUUUCCAUUUCCCUCCUUUCUUUUUUUUAAUAUUUAUUUUUUAGUUUUCGAUGGACACAACAUCUUUAUUUUAUUUUUAUGUGGUGCUGAGGAUCGAACCCAGCACCCUGCGCAUGCCAGGCCAGCGUGCUACCGCUUCAGCCACAUCCCCAGCCCCCUCCUUUCUUUUUACACAAUUUUGACCCAGAAUUUAAAAUGUUCAGAGUUGGGGAAGGUUCCAAGCCUAGCCUAACCAGACAGGGCUCUCCCUCAUUUGUUGGCUCUGUCCUCAGGUGGAUGGAUACCAGGGAGUAACUCAAUGUCCUCUGAAAACUCAGUUCUCAGAAAAAUGCUACAUGCACAAACAAGGGUUUGUGUACACUUGUAGGGGUUUACAGACUGUCUGAAGCCAAACCAUUGGUCUCUGCUUUAAUACCUGUGAGUGAAGAAAACAUCCCUAUGGAGGUCUUCGAUCCUCAGCAUGGUAAUGUCAUCAGGUAUCAUCACCUCUUCCUCCUUCUUGGGUAAACUUAAAAGAAACCUGUGUUGAAAAAUCAGGUGAGCUAUUCUGAGUCAUUCCUUAAAAGUCAGGCUCUUGAGGAAUGUGGGAUUUUAACAGAGUCUUGGAAAAGCAGGAUUGUGCGGGCCAAGCAGAUGGCGUGAGCAUCAGAAGGCACAACAGGGAUUCUCAGGGAAUGUCUGGAGGUGAGACAAUGGGUCUAGCUGUGGCUGCAGCACUGUGAGGGAGGGUCAUGGUGAUGUCAAGAGCCAGCUUGUGGAAGGCUUUGAGGGGUUGGAGGAGGACUAUUUUUGGUUUCAGACAGUGGACUCACUGGACUUGGGUACAUAGCACUGGUCACAGUUGUAAUUGUACAUUCUUUGUGUGAUUAAUUGAUUAGUGUCUUCUGUUCCUCUGGUCUAUCAGCUCUCAUGUCCCAGGAACCAUCUGUAUCUAGCAUGAGUCAAGAAUGUCCAACUUAAUGGAUACUCAAUAUAUAUUGGUUUAUGAACAGGUAGAUUAAUGGCUGAAUUAACAGUUUCAGAGUGGAAAGAGACAAGCUUGGAUCAAUGUUUCUAACAAACAUGGGCUUUAGUACUUGAUUUGAUUUUGUCUCUGUUUCCUUUUUCAUUUAUCAAUGGGUGUCACACAGGGAUGGAAAUUGGCAUCUUGUUGGUCCAUCCUUCCUGUGUCGGGGCAGAUUAGAUUGAGCUCUGUGGUGAAGUGUACAAAUGAUCUGCCAGUCCCUAUCCCCCCCCCGCCCCCUCCCCCCCAUCUUCCACAUGUUAUUUGACCUGAAGCACCUUGAAAUAAUGCAAAAACACACAGUUUUGGAAUUAGAUGAGAUUAGUUCAUUCUUUUACUCUAUUUCUUUUUUUAAAAGUACUUAUUUUUUAGUUUUAGAUGGACACAAUAUCUUUAUUAUUAUUUUUUAAAUGUGGGUGCUGAGGAUCGAACCCAGUGCCUCAUGCAUGCUAGGUGAGCACUCUACCACUGAGCUACAACCCCAGCCCUGGCUCUAUUUCUUAUUAGCUUCAUCUGUAAACAAGGAAUGAUCCCAAAUAUCUAUUUCAUCAUGUUAUUGUGAUGAUUAAAUAACUCUUAGUAUAAAGAGUUUGGCAUAUAGUAGGUGUCUUUGUUUUGUUUUUUUACAUUUAAGUUGAUUUUUUUCUCAUUGUGUACUUUAAAACCAUAAAAAAUAUUUUUGUAAGUUUUCCUUGAUUUUAAAAUGGUCAUGUUUGGUAUGGAAAACAUUGUCUAUACAGCAAAAUAUUAAAAAGUCAAACAAAACAUUUUAUCUACAAUCAUUAUUAGCAUUUUGUGUAUUUCCUGUUAUGGUCUUUGCUCCUGAGAAACUUUGUCUAUUUUAAAAAGGUAAUUCCUAUACACAAUGAGAGAGGCUACAAAAGGGUAAGCAAUGAAAAGUAAUUCUCCCUUUGACCCUGAACCCAGCCAUUAGGUUCCUUUCCUAGAGACAACCAGUGCUACCAGGCCUUAAAUGGCACCCUAUGGAGAGUCUAAAUUUCUAGAAAUAUCUGUUUAACUUCAUAUCGUCUUCCUCUCAUGUGAAGCUAGCAUGGUGGAUACGGUGUCUUCACUGGAGGCCGCGGUUUAAGAGAGUUUCCUUUUAGCUCUCAGAUGUCUUCAUGGGCAGGGCCAGAUAGGACUCUAGUGGCAAGUUCUGAGGGCUCGGUGAUACUUGGUCUUGGUUGUGUAUUUUUGUUCUUUGAAUUGAAAAUUUGCAAACAGCUGAACAGGUGUUAGACUUCUGGGUCUCAACCGUUGACACAGUUGCUCAAGCGAGGAGCAGAGCUGUUGGAGCCACAGACAAGAGGACUGAGGUAGAAGUUGUGCUUUCUCCAACUUUACUUUGAAUCCCAGGGAAAUAUUUUCUAAAUGGACAGUGGGAAGAUGUGGUCUGAUAUGGAAAGAUUAUAUUUUGCAGUUGAAAUCAAUUCAGAAAGUCAGGGAUGCAUGUCUCCAGGAUGCUCUGAACCUGAGUCAACUCAGUCCACUCUAAGACCACUCCUGUACCUACCCUUUCCCUCAGAUUCCACAGUCCUAUGUCCCUUCCACCCCAUAUCCUAUCACCAGAUCCCUCCUCUGCACACUUCACCCCUGCCUGGCCAGAUCUGUCCCAUCCAUCCUCUCACCAGAACCUGCCUUCUCCACCAUGCCCUUCCUCUCAGCCUUUCACUUUCCUCUCCUUCCAUUAAUAGACCUGCCCAAGCACACUGUGAACUCGACCCUUCAAGGGGCCCAGUGGACAAAGAGGGAAGAUAGGAGACUGCACUUGAUAAAAGCUAAGCUCCAUAGAACAACAAAUAAGAAUGGACUGAUGAUGCAUCUGAGACAACUCAUCUGUAAAAUGGGCAUUAAAUAAUAUAAUGGAUAUGACACUGCUUCAAAAUCUGUAAAGUGCUGUCCGAACACAAAAGACUAAGAUUCUCAUGAGGAUGAUGAUAAGUUAAACUGGGAUAUGGAAGCCAAUCAAUAAUUCUACCAAUUAAUUUUUAACUAUUGAAGUGAUACUAAUUCACUUUAGAGGAUAUAUAUAUAUAUAUAUAUAUAUAUAUAUAUAUAUAAUGCAAAUAAAGAUAGGAAAAAAAUUCUCAUAGUCUAAUUAGAGAGUGUGGUUCCUUGGAUUACAGUUCUUACUGAAUACCUUAUCCAUCUCUGUGGGACCUGUUUAUGUGGGAGGACUAUUGUUCCUUUGGUGGUGAAUUUUGCUGUAUGACUUACUGUGGCUAGUUAAGUGUGAAUGCAAAUAGCACAGAGCCACCACUGAAGCUCUAAGAGCUCUUGUGUGGUUCUGCCAUCUUUCUUCCCCUUCUGUCAUGAGACCAGCAUAUUUCAGUUAUGAGCUUUUCCUUCAUCUGGGUCCUGGAAUAAAGAGCCCUGUGAAGGACACACAGUAACAGUGAGAGAUAAUCGUUUCUUUUGUGAGCCCCUGAGGUGUGAAGGUUGUUUGCUACUGCAGUAUAAUCUGUCCUAAGAUACCUAUAUUGAUGCACAGGGAAAUAACACUGUUAAUCUUUAGUCUAUUUUAUUCAGUGAUUACAUCAUAUAUAUUUUUCUCUAUAAAAAUAGACUUGUAAAUGAGCAUAUUAUUUGGUGAAAUGCUUUUCUCAUCUGCAACAAUUUCAGCAUAUAAUCUUAGAAAAUAAGGAUUUAAAAGAUAAGUAUUUUUUUUCUUAAAAUACUCAUAGUACCAAAAUCAAUAAUACUAAAAUUAAUAAUUUCUUCAUAUCACCAAAUAUUAGUCAUUAUCAACAUUUCUCCAACAGUAUUUUAUUCUUUAUUUAAAUCAGAGAUUUAAUUUUGCAGGAGACUUAGUUUGCAGUAGGUUGAUACGUCUCUUAAAUCUCUUUAUCUUUAGGUUUGCCCUCUCCUUCUCUUUUUGCUCUUGUAAAUAUUUUUGUUGAGGAAACGGAAUCAGUUGUCCUGGGGAAUUUCCCACAGUCUGGAUUUUGCUGAUUGUGUUUUUAUGGUGUCACUUAGCAUGUUCCUCUUUCCACUGUAUUUCCAGUAAAUGGUUUAUUAAACCUAGAGACUUGGGCUAGGGAUGUAGCUCAGUAGUAGAGUAUUUGCCUUGCAUGGGUGAUGUCCUGGGUUUGAUCCCCAGCUCUGCAAAAAUAAAUAAAUAAAUAAAUAAACAAACAAACAAACAAAUAAAUAAAUCUAGGCUCAAUUAGAUUCAGUGAUAGAUUUAAAAAAAAAACCUCAAUACACUAUAAAUAUCUUCCACAUCAUUUAUUAUCCUAUGAUAAUGUGUGUUUUUUUAAAUGAUUAUGGAGUUGUUGACUAGAGCAAUGUAUCAUUAAUUUAUCUAGGCUGUUGUUGGACGUUUUGGUUGUUUCUGCUUUUGCUACUCUACACAGCUCACUGAUAAACAUCCUUGUGGCAGUCCACUUUCUGGCCUGAUUUGCUCCCUUCUAUUCCAUUAGUUCCUGCGGAUGGUGGAUGCCUGCGCCAGCUUCCUCACAGAAGCCUUGAACCCAGAAAACUGUGUUGGAAUCCUGAGGUUGGCAGACACACACUCUUUGGACAGUCUAAAGAAGCAAGUUCAAAAUUACAUCAUUCAAAACUUUGUGCAGAUUCUGAACUCCGAGGAGUUCCUUGAACUUCCCGUGGACACUCUGUACCACAUCUUGAAGAGUGACGACCUUUAUGUGACUGAGGAAGCUCAGGUGUUUGAGACUGUGAUGAGCUGGGUCCGCCACAAACAGUCAGAGCGACUCUGCUUGCUCCCCUGUGUUCUCGAGAACGUGCGCUUGCCACUUCUGGACCCGUGGUACUUUGUGGAGACGGUCGAAGCAGAUCCUCUCAUCAGACAGUGCCCAGAGGUCUUCCCACUGCUCCAGGAAGCCAGGAUGUACCACCUUUCUGGCAAUGAGGUGAGUUAGAGAUGAAAGAUGCUAUGUUUAACCAGAUUAAUUAGAAGAUGCUAUACUGUUCAAAGUUUGAGUCAAGAAGUUCCAGAAGCCCUGAAUGCCUGAUCUGUAAAAUGGGGAUGUACUACAUUUUCAGACAGUUACUGAUAGGAUUGGGUGACAGAGGAAACCACCCAGCACCACACCUGAUUCAUUCUUGCUCUUCUCAAUUGUGUGAGAGCAGGAGGUUGGUGAGGGGCAAUGCACACAGAAAGGACCGUGCCCUGUCCAGAGGCAUGCCACUUUCCUAAUUUGUCCACUCUGGUGAAACCUUAUAUCUCUUGGAUGGAUUCUUAUGUUACAUUAUCUUGGUUCAGACUUUCAUCCUUUCCUUCUCAAAUUUCUUGAAAGUUCCUCAGAACUCACCUUCUUGCUCUCAGUGUGGUCUCACACUGAUUCAUUUCCACCAGUAGGAUUAUCUAAAACUCAAGUGUGAGCCUCUUGCUCAUUGGCUUACCUUCUUCACUGGAUCCCUGUCAUUUCUGGGGUGAAAACCACACUUCCUGCCUAACCCCCAUCCAGCCUGGCUUCCUGGCAUCAUCUCCCACCUCUCUGUUCUGCUCUAGUCCUGAUGUGUUGCUUGUUGUUCUCCAAAGUGGAAGUGUAGUCCAGUCUCCAGGCCAAGGCAGGUGAUAUCCGAAUGCCUUUUUCUUUUUCUUCCUCUAGUUAACUUCCACUCCCACCUCAAAACUCAGUUCAAGCAUGUUCUUCAGAGACCUAUGUGUGUUCUUAUAGCCUUUGGUGACUUCCUUAAUUAUAGCACUAGCUGUCACGUGGUAAACCUUGAGUUCAGAAUCUGUAAAUUCCUUUAGGUAGAGAGCUUGUUAUAGUAGGAAAUGUAACUUACUGGACUUUUCAUCUCCAGAUCUUAGAAGCAAGUCUCUGGUGCAUAGUGAGUUAGUGGUCAAUGUUUACUGAGUGCUUAGACAAAUACCAGGAUGGUGAAUACACAGAGCAUCUGGAUCUACCUGGGUCUCCUUAACAAUUUCUGAAGAAUUUUUUUUUUAUUCAAAACUUUAUAAAUGUGAGAGCAAGUGUAUUACAGAAGAACAAAACUGGCAGGAAGUAAUGCUAUAGGGACAUCUUGCUAAUGAUUUGUACACAUGCAGACCCAUAUACAUGUGUCACUAUACAAGAGUUCUGAGAUUAGCCACCAAGCCUUCUUUGUUAGGCCAUUGGGAAAAACCUUACCCAAAGGUAGCUCAGCAAUCAUUUGUCUGAGGCUCCUCUGGCUCUUCCCCCCACCCCACCGUUUGUCUUUUUCUAGCUCUCUGUCAUUCUUAGAUCCACUUUUUAUUCAUUCAUUCUGGAAAUGUUUCCUUAAAUAUUUGGUAGAAUUUACCAGAACCUGAAAUUUUCUUUCUGAGAUUUUUAAAAUUACAAAUAGCAUAAUUUUCAUAGAUACAGUUCUAUUCAGGUUAUCCAUUUCUUUUAGAAUGAGCUUUGGUAGUUUGUCUUUCAAAGAAUUGUUUCACUUCACGUAAGUUGCUGAGUUUUUUAGAAUACAAUUAUUCAUAGUAUUCUCUUAUCACCCUGUUAUUAUUUAUAGGAUCUGUUGGGAUAUCCAAUCUCUCAUUCCAGAUAUUGGAACUUCAUAUCCUAUUUUUUGUUUGUUUUUUUGUUCUCCUGAACAGUUUGGUUAGAGGUUUAUCAAUUUUAUUGAUUUUCUCAAAUAGCUAACUUUUGGUUUUAUUUUCACUAUUGUUUUCCUAUUUUUUAAAAUUUAUAUAUUUCUACUAUGAUCUUGAUUAUUUUCUUUCUUCUGCUUAUUGUGGAUUUAAUUUACUCUUCUACUAGUUUAUUAAGGUAGGAGCUGAGAACACUGGUCUUGAGUUUUUUUUCCCUUAAUAUUAGCAUCAAUGCUGAAAAUUUCCCCAUAAGAAUUACUUUUACUCAAACCAUAUAUUUUAAAAUGUUGUGCUUUCAUUUUUCACAGAUAAAUCCUGAAAAUCAACUUAUGUCUUAGUCUAUUUUGUGUAGUUAUAAAAAAUAACUGGAGGCUGAUAAUUUAAAAAUUAAAGAGGUUUAUUUGGCUAAUGAGACAGUCUCUGCCUCACUAACCUUUUGGUCUGACAGAGACAUUGGGACAAUUAGACUAUGGGAGAAGACCAGAUCACCACCCACAUAGGUCCUUUCCCAUGGUGGAUAUGUGGGAACUUGGCAGAUAAUUCACACUGGGUAUCAUACAACUGCAGAAAGGUUUCUCUUAGGUCAAUUUAAAGUACAGAGUAUUGGCUAACUAUACUUCCAAUAUUCUAUACUUGAACAUGCUAGUUACUUUUGCUUCUACCUGCUAUUUUCUAAGACCUUAAGAUAUAGGCAAUAAAGGUUUUCCUCUCAUAUAGAAAGUCUCUAUCCUGUUUUCUGCAAAAAUUAUUACAAUUACACAUCUUCACUGUCUUUUGUGUUUUCAAGGUCCAGAGGGUGGGGUGGGGUGGUGAGCAGAUAUGGGUUUUAAUAUUAACUGUACAAUUUAUUGACAGUGUAAUUUCAGGCAAACUACUUUGCUACUCUAAGGCUCAGUCCUAAUCUGUAACACAAGGAUAAUAAUAUCUAACAAGAGACAGAACUGUUUUAAAAAUUGAAUAAAAUAAUAAAUGAAAUGUGUGUAGUACAGUGCUUAGUACAGUGUCUAGUGUCUGAUAAGUGUCCCACGAAUGGAAGCUGGUGUUAUUCUCACUCAAUUCCUUUAUGGUUGCUCUGUCUCCCACAAUCAAGCAUUUUCUUCUCUGGAACUCAAAUCUCUUGUUUCACUGGUCUCAGUCUUUUGCUGCCUUAUUUCUUCAAAUCCUGAACAAGGCACUUUCUCAUUUCCAUUUUAUAUUCUGGACAACUGAAUCAAUCACAGAUCUCCAAAUUGGGUCUCAUUGCCAGUUGGUCUCUUGAACUGUAAUCUACGCACUGCUUGAAUGAUCUUGGGUUUAUUCCUGAUGGCAGUAGAGUGAGUUUGGAGGUUACUCUUGUGAAUACACUCCUCCUCUUAACCUUCAUUUCCAACCUUCAUCUCUUCUUCCCUAGAAUCUUCUCCAUCUUGUAGGAUGGUGGUAAUGAUAGAAAUUUUAGAAUCUUAAAAGCAAAUGUUGAUCUACAUUUUGUUUAAAAGUAGUAGCUGGAACCUUCAUUAGAAGAGUUUUUUUUUGUUUGUUUGUUUUUUUAGGACAGAAAAAAGUUGCCUCUUCAUUUAAUUGCUUUCUAAGUUUCCAGGGACUAAGUUGGUCUAUUAUAAAGGUUUUUCUGACAAGUAUGAUAUGGGAAGAUGCAGGCAGAGGCUCACUCUUAAGGACAGCUUUGUUGACCAAUAUGGUCAUUUCUAUUUGUCCUCAAGUAUAACUCUGUGAACAAUGAGCAGUUAGUCAGGUACAACUGUUCAUUUUGGUUUGUUUGUUUGUAGUACUGACAAUUGAACCCAGGCAAGUACUCUACCACUGAGCCAUAUCCCUAGCCCUAUCUGUUCUGUUUUUAACAAUCUGAAGUUAAACUGGUUAGACCUGAUCGUUGAGUGCAAUUCAUUGGAAAAUAUUUAUGUAAAUCUACAACAAACUUUCAUAUCUCUGACUUCAAAUUGACAUCUUUCAAGCCUUGGGGUUUAAUAUUUUACCAAAUUUGCAAUUUGAUGAUAGUGCCAGCACUCAGCACUAUUAAGUUACAAGCUUAGUUACAAGGCAAUUCUCCAUAUCCAACCAAUCACAUCACCAAGAUGAUUGUAUUAGUUAAUUGUAUUAGUUAUCAAUCAUUGAAAAACAAACUACCCCAAAACUCAACUGUUUAAAACAAAACAGACAGCUGGUGGAGCCCACUUGUAGAACACUUGCCUAGUAUGUGCAAGGUUCUGUAUUCAACCCCCAGCACUGUAAAAAAAAAAAAUUCAAACAGCAAACAUUCUCAAGUCCUGGGUGGGGUUAGGCUGGGUAUUUCUGAUGCAAGAUCCCUUACCAGGAUGUAGUCAGGUUGCUGGGGCUACAGUAGUUUCAAAGUUCAAGUGGAGUUGUAGAACACACUUUAAGCUAACUCACAGAGUUGUUGGUGGGCAUCAGUUUUUUUACUGGCUGUUGGCUGGAGGCCUUGGUUUCUUGCCAUGUGGGAAUCUCCAUGUCAGCUGACUUCCCUCUGAGAAUGAGAGAGCAACCAAAAUGGAAGCUGUCAUGCCCCUUGAAGCCUGAUGGACCAUCAUUGCUGCUCUACUAUUCAUCAUAGAGAUCAAUUCUGGAACAGUGUGACGAGAACUACAUAAGGUGUGAUUACUGGAAAGCAGGAAUCACUGUGGCCAUUGUGGAGGAUGGUUACCACAAUAAUUUAGAAUGGAAAAAAUAAUCCAUGUAAGGGGCUGGGUUACCUAAUUUGCCCAUCCAUCCAUCCAUCCAUCCCCCCAUUCACUCAUUCACUCUAUGCGUAUAGAAACCCAUAAGCUCCAGUUGUUGGUGUUGAAACCCACAAUUCUAGUUUACACCGAUAUUUGACAUUCAGGAGCAAAGAAUACCCUGUCAGCCCUGGGAGCCAGGAAGUAAGGCCAUUGCCAGUCCAGGUCCCCAUCAGCCUCCACUGCCCAGAAGGUUGUUGGUGCAUAAGACAGGAAGCUUCCAAGAGAAGGCUGAGGCCUGGUUGUCAGAAUUGAAAUAAGAGUCACAGAGGAACCAGUUCUGAAGGAUGAUGCUGUCCUUUACACAAAACCCAACCACACCUAAAUCUCCUCUGAAAGAGGACCAGAUUGGUGCUGGAUGUUGUGUCUCAGACGUAGGUAGGGGAAAUUUAGGGACAGGAACUAGGGUUGGUAGCUGGAAGGAAAGUUGCAAAAUGUCAAAAAGUUUGUCUUUGGUGUCAACUCAUUGCUUAGAUCCUGUCCUGCUGCUUUGGUGUCUUCAACUAACUGACUCCAAGUUCCUUGGAGCAUCCCUCCUGACCUUCCUACUUUCUACUGUUGAUGCACUCAGGCUCAGCCCAUUGCUUAGGGUUUGUCCUGCUGCAAACUCUAUGGCCAUGGUCCAGUCUCAAGAAUUUACUGGAGCUGAUUCUUUGGGACAGAAAAACAAGGAAAUAAAGACUCAUGGAAAAGUCAAGUUUGGGUGUACUGUGGUCAUUGAAUUCACCCUGUAAGGACUCAGUCUUUGGUAAUGUAACCAAUUUGUCAACACCAGUGUGCAAAAUCAAAGUUCUAUAACUGUUAGAUCAGCCUAACUUUGUAGGAAACAGUGGCUGCUUUGGCGGUGGACAAGGGGGCACUACCUCUCUGACUCUCAUCAGUACGCCCAAGGAACCUCCCCACUGAGCACCAAGGAUUGGAUGCAACCAGGAAGAGGCAGCUCUUCCUUUCCUAGUGAUAUCCAUUGACAUCUGCUACUGCUCCCACCGACAGGACAAUCUGAUGAGGGUUGUGUAUGUGCCAGGUGCCCCACUCUACCUCAUGACAUCAAGAGUGUCCACAAUGACCUAAAGUCACAGAACCAGUAACAAGCAUUUUUCAGAGACUAUAUCACUUCUCCAAAGUCACAUGGCCACAGGUGAUGGAAGCCCAGUGUACUUGACUUCCAAACCCCUGGUUUUACAACUGGAUUCAAAUACCUGUAGUGUGGAGUUCCUUAUUCAAAUCUCUGAAGGGUCAUAAACUUGUGUAAGGACCAGUUCCCCAGCCUCUCUGGCUCUGCUUCUUUUUCCUCCUAAGUUUCUGCUCUAUAUGUCACUGUAAAGGACUUUCCUUCCAAAAGGAGGUUGGUGGAGAGCAAAAUCUGAGAUAUUAAGAAAUUGAAAUCAGGGGAACUGGGAAAUAGCCCAAAAUGAAAUUCAAGAAUUUAAGGCUUCAGACCAGGUAGGAAGCAUGGGAGAGGGCAGUAAGUACAUUUGAUGGCAAAUAGACCCUGUCUUCUUAAAACAAAAUAAAAGAAAACCCAAUAGGUAACAUUUAUUGAGUACACAUUACACACCAGGCUCAAGAUUAAGCACACUAUAUAUCAAGCUACUUAAUUCUCACAACAAACCCAUAAGGUAGUUAACACUAAAAUUUCCAUUGUAUAGAUGACACAGAGGCACACUGAGGUGAAGUCACGUGGUCAUACAUACAGAUUUUGGAAUUGGGACCUGCUCCAUAUGGCUUCACAGCCUGAGCUGUGCUUCAUCAUGUUAUCCUGCCUAUAUGUCCCCCAUUGAUUUUCAGAUCAUUUCGGAGCGCACCAAGCCCAGGAUGCACGAAUUCCAAUCUGAGGUGUUCAUGAUCAUUGGUGGCUGUACAAAGGACGAACGGUUUGUGGCAGAGGUAACCUGCCUGGAUCCCCUGAGGCGCAGUCGCCUGGAGGUGGCCAAGCUCCCAUUGACUGAGCAUGAGCUGGAGAUUGAGAAUAAGAAGUGGGUGGAGUUUGCAUGCGUGACAUUAAAAAAUGAGGUCUACAUCUCAGGUAAGCAGGAGCCAUGUGGAGCCAAAGCAAGCCCAUACUCCGCAAUAGCAUGCCACAUUUUCCCAAGUGAGAGCCAGGGAACCAUCCUAUGAGAAUGACUGUGAGUUGGCAAUGAUGUAACUCUGACUGGGUCAGGUCAUGGAACCAGGAGCUCAGGUAGUCUUACCUGGAGAGUGCAUUAUUAACUAAUAAACUCUAAAACGUGAGCAGCAUUGUACUGGGAUCUAGGGGAGCAGGCAGAGAGGUCAAGUCCUUCUGGGAAAAGGAAGAAAUGAUACCAGGGUUUAUUCAGGGUCUGCUACAAGCUAGCAUAGGACUCUGAACCAGGUGUGGGAAUAUAGUAAGCAAUGAAAACCUCUGCUCUUCUCCCAAACCUGACCCCCUCCUAAGUUUAUUAGGUCAUAUUUUGAGAGACUUUGAAGUAAUAUGAAAAGCAUACAUUUUUCUUGCUAAAUUGUCAAUUAUUCACAAUUACUUUAUGGCUGACUUCAAUUAGACCUGAAGUUGCCAUGCAAGUCAACACUGUGUCCCCAGCCACUAGCAUUAUGCCUGACUUCAGAGUAAACAUUCAAUCAAUGUUUAUUGAAUGACAUAGUCUCAACAUUUUUUAUUGCAUAGUAGAUGAAUCUACUUUAAUAACAUUUAAUCAUUUGCUCUCACAUUGAUUCUGUAAGGUAGAUAGGAUAAAACUGAGGCUCAGAGAGGUUCUAGAAUAUAACUAGGGUCACACCCUGGUAGGUGUCAGGCAGGAUCCCAACCCAGGUGCUGAGCCUGAGUCCCAGGCUCUCAUCCUCACAUCAAAAAACUCAACCCUUCUUGGGACCCUAGGGAAGAGUUGAACAUCCCUUCCCACCCUUGGAGGCUUUUCUGCAAAUGAACUUGUUUGGGAAGAGCAGCUUCCCAAGCUGGUUUCCUUCAAAGUGAAGGGCAAGUCUGCUCUUCUUUGUAAAUAUUCAUACCAUCUAUUAGGUUCUAGUUUUAUUUUAUAUUGUAGAAAUAUUUGUAAUUGUUAUAGAAAAUUCAAACAAUACAAAGAAUAGAAAAUAGGUAGUUUCUCUGUGCCAUUAUAAUUCUAUAUUUUUACAAAAAUAGUGAUAUUGUUUUGGGGUAAGUAGUAUUAGUGAUAUAGCAAUCCUAAAUCUCAGUGAAUUAAGAUGAUAGAAUGUGGGAGUGAGGGGAGGGGUCCAUCUGCUUCCACUCAGGCACUCAGGGACCCAGCUUUCUUCCAUCUUGUGAUGCUUCCAUUUCCCACAUGUGGCCUUCAUUUAGGGAAGACAGAGAAACCCAGUGGGUUGAGAAGGCAUAUGUCCUCAUAAAAGCCUCUCAGCCUGGAAAGAGCACCUCGAUUCUGCUCACAUUCCAUUGGAAAAGACUAGCUGUGUGCCCUUCUCUCCCAGCAUACAGGUGUCCUGGGAAAUGUCGUUUAGCCUUGUGUGGGGGGAGGGAGUGGGGAACAGGGUUGGUGGUCAUAAUCCAUCUUUGCCAUUUAUACAGCACGUUAUUCUACCACUGUCCUUUUCCUCUUGAAUUUAUUGUUCAUUUUAAAAUGAUACCAGCAAUACAUGCAAGCAUGCUUGUCUACACAGUUAAAUCAACAGAAACGUGUACUUCCAUUAGCAAUAUACCUGGGUAUCGUUACAUGUUGGCACAAUGGAUGUAUGUAUGUUAAGUGACAUUCUACAUGUCAGCUACAUGGUGAGAGCUCCAUGAGACCUAUCAUUUUCACCAGUGCUUUUCCCUUCUUUGGUAGUGGGGAUUGAACCCAGGGAUGCUUUACCUCUCAACUACAUCCCCAGGCCUUUUUAUUUUUUAUUUAGAGAUAGCAUCCCACUAAGUAGCUGAGACUGGCCUCUACCUUGUGAUCCUCCUGCUUCAGCCUCCUAAGUUGCUGGGAUUACAGGAGUGUGCUACCAGGCCUGACACCACUGCUCUUAUUUUUGCCAGCUGUAAAGCAGUCUAUUGAAUGAAAAAAAAAAACAUCAUUUUUUACAACUUUCUUUUUUAAAAUCUCCUUGGGGGGAAAAAACCCCACUCCAGUAGGCAUUCUUAAACACUUAAACUUUACAUACUUGUGCUCCUCUUUGGAAAGUUCCUGGAAGCAGUCAGAAGGUCUGUGAAUAGAGAAAUUUGGUAUAUAUUGCUAAUUGUCCUCCAGAAAGUUUGUAUCAAUUUGUUGUUCAAUCAGUGUUGGAUGACAGUGCCCAUUUUCAACAUCCUUGCUAACAAUUUUUAUUAUCAAUCAUUUACAUUUUUAAUAGACUAAAUGUUUAAAUUUAUACUUUUGGAGCAUUGGUGAGGUUGGACAUAUUUUUACAUAGUUAUUAGCUAAUUGCGUUUAUUAUAAAAAAUUAUCUGUUUAUACUCUUGGGCUGUUCUAUUGAUUGUUGUCUUUUUCUUACUAAUAUUUGGGAGGUCUUAUUAUGUAUCCUUUGCCUUUUGUGUUGCAAACAGAUAAUGGUUGUCUUUUUAACUUUGAUUUAUAUUUAUAUAGUCAUUUUCUUUCCUAUAUAAUUCCGAGUUUCAUGUCAUGCUUAGAAAUCUUCUCCCUGUUUGCCAGGACGGUGGUGCAUGCCUAUAAUCCCAGCGGUUUGGGAAGCUAAGACAGGAGGAUUGUGAGUUUGAGGCCAGCUUCAGCAACUUAGCCAAAUCCUAAGCAACUCAGCAAGAUCCUGUCUCUAAAUAAAAUAUAAAACAGUGCUGGGGAUGUGGCUCAGUGGUUAAGUUUCCCUGGGUUCAAUUUCCAAUACCAAAAAAAAAAAAAAAAGAAAGAAAUCUUCCCCCCCCUCCCCAAGAUUAUUAAGAUGGUUUCUUAUAUAUUCCCCAAUUACUUUUACAGCAGUUACAUUUGACUUUUAUUUUAAAUGUAAUGUGAAAUCGGUAUCUAACUUAAUUUUUCUCCAAAUGAAUAGAAAUUGUUCUAAUAACAUUUGUUAAAUAAUUCUAUAUAUUUUAGUCCUAUUUGUAUCCUUGUUAUUAAUUAAUCAGUUUGUCUACUUUUGUGCUCAUACUGUAGUGUUUUUAUUUUAAUAGCUUUUAAGCAUAUUUUAAUAUUUGCCGAGGAAAGCCUACUUCAUUCUUUUUUUUUUCAAAUAUUUCUCAGAAGUUUUUCCAGUGAUGGAGCACUUGCCUAGCAUGUGCAAGAAGGCCCUGGCUUUCCUCCCCAGCACCAGAAAAACAACAACAACAACAACAACAGUUUUUGGAAAAGUAUACUUUAAAUUGGCCUUCAGGGAGCCAAUCAGAGUGACUGUGCAUUUGGAAUGAGUGUGCAGCUCAGCAGUAGAGCACAUAAGAGCCCUGAAAAACAAACAAAAAUACCAAAAAAAAAAAAAUAAAUAAAUAAUCAUCCUAAAUUUUCUUUUCUCAGUGAAAUUUAAAAUUAUCCUGUAGAGUUCCCUUUAAAAAGUCCUUCAGGCACUGAGUAUGCAGAUCCCCUGAGGGAGGGUUGGUAUCCCUGCAAUAACAUGUCUUCACACCCACGCAUACACUAUGCUUUCCAGUUAGUCAGAUUUUCUUUAAAAUCCAGAAAUAAAAUCAUAGAGCUUUUUUCCUAUUUUAAAUAAAGAUUGCAUAUAUUCUCUGAAAGUUUAUACUUACUUUAUAAUCUUUGACAUUACCUAAAUGGGAUCAAUAUCAUACUGUUUUGAAUAGAGACUUCUAAAAGGUGUAUGAGCCAAAGGAAAAAUGGUCAGAGUAUAAUGAAUAAGAAAUUCAGAGAAAAGGAAGCUCAGCCUCCCUUAGAGUCAGGGAAAACCAAAGUGGGAUAGCAGAGAGAGGAGCAGGGGGACUCUCCCCUGCCAGCUGAGGGUGGGACAUGAGGAAAGGUCAACCAGCAUAGCUUCCCAAAGAUGCUUGGUGUGUGCUCAUGCCUCUGACCUAGAAAUCCCACUUUAGGGUUCCACCCUAGAGAAACACUUAAACCUGUGACCCAGAACAUUGUCAGUGAUAUUUUUCUUUGCCCCACUAGUGCACAUUCAUAAGUCUGAUAAAUAUAGUCUUUUGCUUCAAGCAGUUGGUGGUGCUGCAUGCUGGUGGGGAAAUGGAAACAUAAAGGUGUUUAAAUGUUUUAUUAAAGUCACCCCAAAAGGCAGCCCUCCUUUGUCUUGGUCUCUCUCACUAACUGAUGAAUUAUGUAUUUUCUGUUUAUCAAGAGAGUUGUCUUCAAUAUUGACCGAUUCACUCUCAAAGGAACUAUUGUGAGAACCUCUUACUUUAUAACAAAAAUUAAUUUUAGAAAAGGGCAAGUCCCACUUGUAUAUUUACUAGAUCAGAGCUAUGAACCAAGAGAAUUUUGUAAGAUUUCUUGCUGAUUUUUCCAAAUUUGUGUCUUUGCUCUUUUGUUUAAACUUAGAACUUAAGCUGCCUUCUAAUUUACUAGGUGGUCAAGGUCCUGCCAUCUCUGCCCGGUCUCACUCCCUGCUCCUUGUGGGCAAAAACACAGAGUCCAGGCUCCCUCUGCCUCCCCACUCACCCAGGUUGAACUCCAGUGACACUGAUGUGGCACUGCACACCAUGAGGCCAUGGCUGCCCUCCUGGUCCACCCACCCCACCCCCAGAUCCCUGUAUUUGCUUUGUCUCCCCCAAGUCUUGCCAUAGACCAUAUUCACCUUCAGGAUUUCUCUUGUCUCCCCUUGGAGUGAGGCUGGCAUGAGGAUUUAGUGCUUUAGGAGUUCUAAGAAAUGAUGGGAGAAGCUGCAUUUCUGACUCAUCUGGUGGUUUCUUAAAUAUUUUGUUACUUCUUAUAGGUGGCAAAGAAACACAGCAUGAUGUUUGGAAAUACAAUUCUUCAAUCAACAAGUGGAUUCAGAUUGAAUAUUUAAACAUCGGCCGCUGGAGGCAUAAAAUGGUGGUGUUGGGUGGCAAGGUCUAUGUCAUUGGAGGUUUUGAUGGCUUACAGAGGAUCAACAAUGUGGAGACCUACGACCCCUUCCACAACUGCUGGUCGGAGGUAUGGGAGAUUAUUUCUAUGACUAACUCUAUCUGUAUUAUUACUUCAGAGCUAAAAAAAAAAAAAAGAAAGGCACAUGCCUAUGACGGUGGCCAGCAUUUUGAUUGCCUUGCUCCUAUGGAGAACAUUUUUGGUGGCUCUGAACAUUCCCUUCCCUAGGAGUCAGGGCUUCAGCAUUGCUGAUCAAGGCAAAGCAAUAAUGUCCUUCCAGGUGGGGAGGCUUUCUCUGGGCAGCCAGAGCCCUCUGUGUGGAGGCUGUGGAGGGGAGGCUUACCCUGCCCUGAGAUGGUAGAUCCCAUGGCACAUGUCUGGCUCAGAAUCUUGUCCCCUCAGAUGCAUUCCAUGAGAUUCGUCUCCACACCAGGCAUGCGGGCAUCCGCACACUGCACUGUUUGUGAACCUAGAGUCAUUUGGUCAUGUUUAGAAGUCAGCCCUUAUUUAUUUCCCCAUUAAUGAUGAACCAUUUACAUGCCCACAUGUAAGACUCUCAAUGUGACCUCAGGUGUAUGUCAUACCCAGGAAAAGUAAAGUGACUUCGCCUCCUGUAGUUCCAGGUUAUUCUCAAGUUCAAAUUUUCUUUCUUCUCAUCAGAGCAUAUUCCAGCUUUGGGAAGUAUAAAACACAGUCACUGUAGGUACAAGCAAAGGUCCCCAGAUCACCACAACAUCCAAAGAAGGCCUGUCAACCUGAAAAGUGCUAUAUAGGGAGCCCUUAACAUCUCUGGGGGUGUGCCCAACAUGUUCCCCAAUCAUCAAGUCCCAUCAUAAAGUUACUCCAUGACUCAAAGGGGUUAUGCAAAUAGGUAAUAGGCUCUUGAAAUUCUUUUUAGUAUCCUGGGAUUUACAAGGUAGAAGUACAAGUCUGUCUUAAUCCCCAAAGUUGCAAUGUGCCCCCAAAUGGCUGGUUAAACCCAUAUACUAGCUUUUCUUCCUGGAUAUAAACACUAAAGACAAUCAAUGCUGUCACAUAGUAGGUACUCAGAUAUUUUCUGAAUGAACAUGUAAAUGAAUAUAUAUGUUUGAAAAAUCAUUUUCCUCCAACAUUGGCUGACUUCAUCUAUAUAACACUAAUUUCUGCCUGUACCCUCUCCUUCCUUGAGAACUAGACUCGGGAAAACAGGUGGGAACAUCCCAACACACAGCUUGCCCUAGCCUGCCUGUAUGGAGGCUGGGAAAUGCAUGCUUUGAUUCUCUCCACAUCUUAAGGAGAGUCAAGCCCACAGGCCUUGUCAGUUCAGGAGAAGGAUGCCCAGGUUUGCAUCCCAGGACAUAUGUCCUGUGAGUUCUUCCAGCAAUUUAGGCAGCAUAGCUGACACCUUUUUCUUGUGCCCCAUGCCUCUGCAGGCUGCACCCCUCCUUGUCCAUGUCAGUUCUUUCGCCGCCACCAGCCACAAGAAGAAGCUCUAUGUGAUUGGGGGAGGGCCUAAUGGAAAACUGGCCACAGACAAAACUCAGUGUUAUGACCCUUCCACCAAUAAAUGGACUUUAAAGGCAGCCAUGCCUGUGGAGGCUAAAUGCAUCAAUGCAGUGAGUUUCCGGGACCGCAUCUAUGUUGUUGGUGAGUGAGUGACAGCUUUUUAUUUAUCUGAGGUCCCCCUUCAUGCAGCUAUGCCAGAGAUCAGAUAUAAUUCUCUUGAGAAUUCCUGGAUGAAGUGGGUAGAGCUGAAAAGGAAGAAAAGUUGGGGUUGGUUCAGGUCUUGGUGGAUUUUCCUUUACAGUCCUAAAGGCAGAAUAAAAACUGUUUAGGGGUAACAAAACAGAUGGACACUGUGGCCCAGAGGAAGAGGCCUGAAGUCAUUGCAGGAGGAAAGUUGUUUUGCAAACAUUAGGAAUGUAUAGAAGUUGAAAUGUGCAUGGUAUAAUAAGUGCUCAACCAGUGGCAGCUAUUAUUACUUCCUAGUUUGUGUUCAUGGAAAUUUCUCUCUCGCUGCUUUUUAAGGGCUCUGAAAAGUUACAUUUAGUUGAGAGAAAAGUCUAGCCAGCCAGACCACAGUUGGCAUGUAUUUGUUAAGGAUGGUGGCUCCCAGUUAGAAUAACCAGGGAGCUUUUGAAAAAACUAUGGAUAACUGGUUCCUACCCCAGACCAAUGAAAUCAGAAUUCAGGAGGGAAGGAGGUUGCUGGGGAACAGUACAAUUUAUUAUUAUUUUUUUAAUCUCCGGGUGAUUUUAAUGAGCAGCCAGGGUAGAGAACUACUGAUGAAGGAGAUGCCGAGAUGCCAAGAUGCCAGGAAAUAAAUAACUUCAGUGAAUGAGAGCUAAUCAGAGAAGGCAUUUGGGGGCAAAACAUUGGAACAGAUUAAGGGGAAAACACUUUUCUCCCUUGCUUUAGAUUUCUCCUGUGUUCAUGGUUAGUUUCCUGACUGUUCCAAAAGUCUAAUCUCAAGAUGGUUACCUUGGGCUUGUGUCUCAGAUCAUGCUGAGUCUCUGAAGAGAUGCCAACCCGGCUACUGCCAGGGAUGGAUGAUUUCUAUCAACCAGUGCUCUACCGGAUGCUUUAUGUGCAUCUUAGGACCACCAUGGUCUUGGUGCCCAUGGUAACAGAAUAAAAAGUGCAGAGCUGGGAUUAUGGACCACAUCUUCCAAAGGCACCAUAUUUCUUCCCAGGAGCAGUCUUAAGGUACAUUUUGGUAGCUACGUUAAGCCAGUUGUUCUUUAGAAACCACGACUGCAGAAUUGGAAGGACAUUGUGAGUCAUCUCGGUGGCAACUUGCUGCUCCUAGGAUGCAUCCUGGCUUUCUGGGAAAGGGCCAUCAAUCCACUGUUUCUCUUGGCAAGAUGGGAGUCCUGCCCUAACCGGAAGUAGAAUUUUAGUGGCUAACGGGAUAGAAACCCAGAAAAAUGGUAGGAUGCUUCCCCUGUGUGUUCUUCCUCUCCAGGAGGGGCCAUGAGAGCGCUGUACGCCUACAGCCCUCUGGAGGACAGCUGGUGCCUGGUGACGCAGCUCAGCCACGAGCGGGCCAGCUGCGGCAUCGCGCCCUGCAACAACCGGCUCUACAUCACCGGCGGGCGGGACGAGAAGAACGAGGUCAUCGCCACUGUACUGUGUUGGGACCCCGAGGCUCAGAAACUGACGGAGGAGUGCGUCCUGCCCCGGGGGGUGUCGCACCACGGCAGCGUCACCAUCAGGAAGUCCUACACCCACAUCCGGAGGAUCGUGCCCGGAGCUGUGUCUGUGUGACUGACAAGGGACCCUGGAGGGCGCCACCGGGAGCACUUAGUUCUACCUUGCGCCCUUCAUCCGUGUCCACCCGCAGGCUCCGCUUGUGUUUAAGGCCAUGAAUCGGGAGCGCACCCGGCUUGCUCUGGGGCACCUAGCAAGUCACGACUUUGGAACACUUGAAAAUGGCCAGGAAUGUUUGCAUGACCUACCUCAGGAGGAAGGAUGGAAGAAGAGUAAUAUUUAACAUUUGCGACACUUCUACCCUAUGCCAGGUCUUUUUCUAUAUUAACUCAUUUAACCAUGGGAAUGACCGCCUGCUGGGAUAUUGUCACUCUAGUCUGAGAAGAAACUGAGUUUCAGAAAGGUCAAGUGGCUUGCCCCCGGGUACUCAUUUAGCAAGUAGCUAUGCCAGGAGUAUAAACCCAAGUCUUUCCAGUUCAAAGCCAAUGUCCUCCCCACCAUGUGCCUAACUGAGAGGAGGAAAAUCAAAACCCAAACCUGACUCAGGUCUUGUUCUGGCCAGUCUGUUAGAAGAUUGACUCAGCAAGGCAGGGAAAUAAAGGUGUUUCUUUUUCCUUUUUUUUUUUUCCUUUUCACUCCUGUAUUUAAAUCUUAUGAAAUCCUUAGUGUUGGAGACUUUGGGGGCUUUUGUCAAGAGUGUCUCAUAGGCUGUCCCACUUGACAGGGGAGGCAGUUCUGGGAAGACCAGUUUGUAUUGAAAGAGAUAAAAAGUUUUGUUCUCCUGGCAUCAAAGCUUUUCUUUUUUAUGGUCACUGGAUGGCCCAUUUUGGACUUGAACUGACAUUGCCAGAUGGAAUUACCUUCACCACAGUCUGGUGCCUGGACUCUUAAUGUCCAACAGUUGUACUGUAAUGUAGAAAAGAGGUUUCCAGAGACUCAAACUAUUGUUUUUUAAAUAUGUAAACAUCUCAACACUGCUGGCCACUGCAGGAAUGUCAGAUUCUUCUUGACAGUGUACUUUCUACUUUAAGACUGUGAUCUGGACCCACUCACCUGAAGUUUUCAGGAUAUUUUAAAGCCUAUCUUCUUGAGUUUUGAAUAAGCUUGGCUCAAUUUUGAUUCUAAGAACAGAGUCUGCCCUUCACUCUAAGAAAAGAACUUUCAAAUGAGCUCACUGGAAAUUCAUUCUAAUCCCCAAGAUAGAGAAACAGGUUAAGAGAUCCUGUUUCAUACGCUGUAGUUAAAAACAUAGCAACUGCAUUACCCCAGGUACUUUAUUUUCAUUGUAUGAUUUCAGUUCUCUUUAUAGAGUUUUAGUUCAUGUCAGAAGGGGCAUAUUGUGCUUGUACAAUAUGUACAGUGGUUUGGGAAGUCAGAGGUAUUAGAGUUGAUAGUGAACUUAAUUUACAGAAAAAAAGUUAAGGUCAAGUCAAGUGUGGUGGUCUAAGCCUGUAAUCCCAGGGACUUGGGCGGCUGAGGCAGGAGGAUCGCAACUUCCAGGUCAGCCUAGGCAACUUAGUGAGCCCCUGUUUCAAAAUAAAAUUAAAAGGGUAGGGAUGUACUCAGUGGUAGAGUACCCCUGGAUUCAAUCCCCAGUUCCACAAAAGGAAAAAAAAAUUAUGGUCAGAAGAACUUAAUGUUGUAAAUGUAUAUUUAAAACUUGGAAAAUUAUAUCUCUAUUUAUGCCUAGCUUGUUGAAGAUAAAUAUAAAUACAUGUUGGUGUGUAAAAUGCUCUGCCUUAGGGUCAGGUGAUCUAUCCCCUGAGAAGAAAAUUAAGACGGGUCAAUGCACACAUACUUAUGGAUAUUGAGAACACACUGUCAUGCACCACAAGCUCUAAUGACCUUCACAAAGCUCUCAACUGCAACAAUUUAAUCUAGUUCAGCAAUGUUAUCUAGUUCAUUGCAUGUUUGUCAAUCUUGGAAAUCAAAUCUCUACCCUAGAGACCUCAAUAAACGGGUAAGUGGGCCACCAAUCAAUAUUCUAAUUUUUCUUUUCUUCAAGUUAGCCAAAAAUGAGAUGCAUACUUAUGGGGCUGAGUCCAAAACUUGAUUGCCUGUCAAGGGGGUCUCUUCUGAGAGCUGUGCACUUAGGUCAACUAGUGGUGAUUUCUUACAUGUUUGUCUCUUGCAGAUCACUGUCUGAGCCAUUUGUGACCUACAGGAAAAAUCAGUCUUAGUCCAAAGGCUAUUUCAGGGAAGAGAUUCCAAAGAGGAAAUCCAAUGACAACAUCACUGGCAUACAACUCUCAGAAAGAGAAUGUUCCUUGCCAGGGAUCCAAUGGGUACUGUCCUUUGAUAGAAGCAAUCAGCAAACUUACAGUUCUUUAGAGGUGUGUGUGUAUGUGUGUGGGGGGGUGUUUAAGAUUGUGCUGGGAAAGUGAGGACAUAGGAUCUCUAAGUUAUAAACCUGAUUCUAAAUGCAGUUCUGAAGUUUCAGGGGUAAUUCAUAAUGUCUAAGUUCACACAAGGGGAGGAGUCUCUAUGAUUUUUGUAACACCAAUAAACAUGUGAAUUGUGGUAAAGUUACAGGUAUUCAAGAUCCAGGAGUUCUUAAUAAUAAUGUGGGUCAGGGGACAGAUUUACCUAUUAAGAAGAUCUAGAGUGGUGCAUGCCUGUUAUCCCAGCAGUUCGGGAGGCUGAGGCCGAAGGAUUGAGAGUUCAAAGCCAGCCUCAGCAAAAGCAAGGUGCUAAGCAACUCAGUGAGACCCUGUCUCUAAAUAAAAUACAAAAUAGGACUGUGGAUUUGGCUCAGUGGCUGAGUGCCCCUGAGUUCAAUCCUUGGAAAACCCCCCUCCAAAAAAAGAUCUAGGGUUCUGCAUUUGAAGCUGCCAGCCUGUAGCUUUUAGGAAAGGAAAAAAAGUUCAAGUCAUUUUGGGGAAACUUUGCAAGUAUAGUCAUCAGAGUUUAAGCUUCUAGGCACUAGAAGCUCUUAAAAUCUACUUUUCAUUCCAAGUUAAUAAAACAAAAUCCCAAGUUUGCACCAAGUUAAUGGUUAUGUACCACCAAUAUGGGGAGAGCAAGCUGAGGCUAACCCAGAAACAACCCCAGGACUCAGAGGGGGGAUAGAAGGAGGUUCUGCCACAGUUGGCAUGUUGAGGCAGGGCCUCUGCAUGGAUAGACAUGGUAGAGGAGGAGGAGGUCAGGUUUUGAAGAUGAGGGUCUAGAAAAUGAUAUUGCGGCCCAGGAGUUUGUAAGUGUGACUCCAGUCCCAAGAAGGGCAAGAAAGAAUAAAGGAGCAGGGGACUUGCACACAAGGAAACAAAGAGGGAACCUACUUCCUAGAACUGAGGCACAAGUUAGAGCAGGGCCAACAGUUGGGGCAAUUUGCUGUGGGGCCUGUGAGCUGCCUGGUUGGGUCUUGCAUCCUAAUGGAGAUAACAAGACCCAGAGCCUUUGAUGGAGUAGAAUCUGUAGAAGAGGUUAAGGCUGGUCAAGGCUGGUCUGACAGGCAGGGAGUUAAGCUCACCAAAACACUGACAGAUAAAUGUCUUCUUCUUUGCUUUCAGCCAUUCUGGUCUCAGUGGUUUCAGGAAACACACACAUGUAAAACUCCAUGUCCUUGAACUCAAAGUAACCAUGCUCUCAGGGAAAUAACAAUUAUCAUUCUCAACAUUCUUUUAUAGCUGUGAAAGCAUAGCUUUGCUAUUUAUAAAAGUUGAGGUAGUAGUGUUCAUUCUUUACUUGUCCUAUUUGAUUUUGAAAAAUAAAAGUACUCCAUAAUUUUUAAAGUGAGUAGACAUCAAUGGAUUUUUUUUUUUGUAUGAAGUCCUAAUUUGGGGUUGCAAAGUCAUUUUUUCUUCUAAGUGUUAGAUCUCAUGAUUCAAAGAGUCAACUUCCAUGUAAAUUCCCAUAUGUCUCAAAUAUAGGUACUGCAAAGCCAGUCCUGACAGGUCAGAUUUUUAUAUUUAUAGGCAUAAAUAGUGAACCAAACCAUUUAAGCAUUUUUGGUUUCAUGAGAUUGUAGUUUUUUUAAGUGAUCAAAGCAAGGAUGUUGUUUAUAGGUUAAAGAAGUUUUAAUUUAUUCAAUAAAAUGUGUAUGGAAUGGAUAAG
rnacentral:lncRNA from 1 species